rnacentral:lncRNA from 1 species
UGACUUUUAUUAACUCUUUACACCGUGAAUCUCACAAAAAUAUGAGGAAUAGUCAAUUUCUUUCUUUUGGUGAAACCAGUUGAGUAUUGUUGUAUUGUUCAAUUGAACCAAACAACUUUUAUUAAAAUGAAAACAAAAUCAAUUUUUCUUAUAACAUACUUUUACUAUAAAUUUUUCCACGAUAAAAAAAUCUCUAGAAUAAAAAUAGUAUAGACAUCAAAAUAAUAUUUGAACUUAAUUUUAAAAAAUUAAUAAAGAUGACACUAAAAGUAAUAUAAUACUAUCAUAUAGUACCUAUUAUUUUUUUCAUUCAUUAUUUGACACGUUAUUAAAUAAUUUAUUAUUUACUUUAUAGACCUCACAUAACUUUUAAAUACUAACUUUGUAUCGAGUAUGCAAUAAUAAAUUUAAAUUAAUACGACGUGGAAAAUUCUCGUUUCGUUACCAUCAACACUGUAAUUAUUGAGAAAAGAAAAGGAAAAACUCUAAAAUUAGAGGUGAGGUGGCAAGUGCACUUUCAUGUGGAGGACAUGAGAUCGGAACGCAAAAACUUUGUUUAAUAAUAAACAAAAGUAAUGUAAAGUAUAAAAGAAUGUAAAAGGAAAACAAGUGGAUAUUCCACUUUCGUGUGGAACCAUUUUUAUUCAUAACCAUUAUAUGACACAAUGGGUAUAUAUGGAUAAACUUAAACGUUUUAUUAUUGUUUAUGGAUCUCUCGAUUGGGUCGAGGGUGUGAACUCUUUUUUUUAUGGUAUAAGAUUUUUAUGUUCUUAAUGUUUGAUCUUAUAUUAUAUCUAAAUCCAUGUUAUAUACGUGGAUGAUAUUUUAAUAAGAGAACUCACGAAAUUUUAUCAAAAAAAAAUUAUAGACUUAUUAGAUGAAAUAUUCUAAUGAAAUAAUGAUAUUUGAAUAAGCAAAUAAUUAACUAUUAUAAAAUUUCUUGAAAAAAAAUUACAACUCUAAUCAUAAUUCUAUUGAUCUCUUCUAAAUUUUUUUCACAAUAUGUAGGUUAAUUUUACAGCGAGUUUAUAGGACAAAAUAAUUCUUCAUCAUUCACAUUUCUCUUUGAAGAAAAUUAUCAGUUCUUUGACGAUGAUCUUCACGACGAUGCCGUUUUGGAGGAAGAAACGAACAAAAUGAUCAAAUUAUUGAUUAUUGUUUGAUGUUUUAUUUUUACAAAAGAACUGCUACUUUUAAGCAAUUUACUUUUUUUAAAAAAACUUUAAAAUAUUUGAAGUAAUUAAUUUUAGAAAAAUCUAUUUUUGAAAUUAACUUUUUUCUUAAAAAGAUAGAAAAUAACAAUUACAUUUUUUUUUUAUUAAGAAAGAAAAAGUAAUAGUAGUAAAAAAUAAAAAACAAAAAAGUUUAUACUUUCUUUCAAAGUUAAUUAAUCAAUUUGGAAAUCAAGGAUAAAAGGGUCAAAAUCCCAAUUAGGUCCUAUUUUAAAAUGAUCUUGAAGUGAUUGGUUAUUUUGACAAUUAUUAUUAUUUCCAAAAAUAUCCUCCACCUCAAAACUCAUUUCAUCAUUAUUAUUGAAUAAUUCAUAGUUGUUUUCUUGUAGAUUCAUGGAUGUUACCUUAUUAAUCUCUUCAAUAAUAAUGUCUUUAUUUCCAUGUGGAGGAAGAUGUGAAUAGUCAUAAAAGUCCUUAGCCUCUAAUAUUGUUGUUGUAGUGUAAUCCCCAAAAUACCCUUGUUCCGUAACACCACCACCACUACCACCAUCCUCAAACGUGUUGAAUAAUUGGUAGUUGUCGUUUGAUAAUGUAGAGAACAAUAAUGGUUCGAAUGAACUUGGCUGCUCUACAAAGCUGUUGUUGCUACUUCUAGGUUCGGAUGAGUGGCUUAGGUUUGGAGAUGGAGUAAUAUUGUAACUACGAUUGUUCUUCAUUCUCUUCUUCAACGUUGAAUUCCAGAAAUUCUUUAUUUCGUUAUCUGUUCGUCCAGGUAAACGUGCUGCUAUUUGAGACCAUCUGAUAAAAUAUCAAAUUUUCGUUAAAACAUAUAUUGAUUAAAUUUUACAUGUAUAUAAUAUAUACACAUUUUUACUGGAUUUUGAAAAAUACUAGUUUUAAAGUUUUGAUAUCACUGUUGUUAAAUAUUAUUUCGUUUGAUUUAGUAUUUGAAAAUUAGGUUUGUCUGUGUUUUUUUUAUAAUUUUAUAAUCAAUUUUUUUUAAUCAUAUGUUAGAGAAAUGUUUGAAAAUUAUCUUUUAGACUACGUUUGAUUGUGUACUAUAUAUUUGGUUUUUGACUCGAUUUUAGGUUUUGUUUGAUAGCUACUUAAAGUUACUUUUUAUAUAUUUUUUUUUAUAACAAUUAUGGUUGAAUUAUUCUAAAUACACAACUUUUAAAAAUUAAAUAACAAUACAAAUAAAUGAAAAAGUAAAAGUAGUAUUUACAAAACUUAAUUUUCAUAUAUAUAUAUAGUUCCUUUUUUCUGUAACUAAACAUACAUGAACAUUAAUUAUUUCACCAAAUUUCAAAACGAAAACUACUUUUUAGUUUCCGAAAGUCACAUAGUUUUCUUAAAACACACUUCACCAAAUCAAUAAGCUACCUUAAUCCUUAAAAAGCUAAAAGCUCAAAAAGCUAUUUAAUUUAGUACGUCAAUUCGUAAAUGGUAAUUAACCCAAUAGAAAAUAAUGUAUCCAACAACUAAAUGAUUAAUUGACUUAAAUGAAAUGAAUUUGUCUCUUUGUUUUUUCAUCUAAUGAUCAAGUGAUGUGGAUUCAAUUGUAUUAAUUAUUUUGCACUCAAAUCAAAAUACUAAAUUAAACUUAUUAACCAUAAAGUAUGGCCUACAUUAUUUUGACUCAAUAUAAUUAGACCAAAAAUUAAUUAAAUAAUAGUAAUAAUUUUGAAAGAAAAAAGUAGGGGAAGUUAAUUUUAAUUUGUUUAUAUUAAAGAGAAAAUGUGGUUGAGAGAGUAGCUGCUGUCUAUUUGUAUCUUUGUGAAGUAUAUAUAUAUAUAAGAAGAAGAAGAAUUAUUGCUCAGUGAACUAAUUAAACUAAACCACAUCGACAACCAAACUCAUAAUAACAAAAAAUAUUCAUGGACUCUAAUUGAACUAAACAAUUAAGAUGCCAAAGAGAUAAUAUAUUAGAACCAAGAACUAAUUAAGUAAUAGUAAAAUAAUUUUGUUGUAAUAAAAGAAAUAAUACAUAUGUGUGUGUGAAUAUGUAUUUUUAAAUUUUAUAAUAAAAGUAUUUAAAAAUUACACCAAUAAAUUUGUGAGAACAAAAUUAUUAUUUAAAAUGUGGAAUGAGGGUUUAGAAUGAAUGAAUUUUGUUACCUAUUGCCAAGAAGAGAAUGGAAAUGGAGAAUGAGUUGCUCUUCUUGGGGAGAGAAAGCUCCACGUUUAAGGUCAGGGCGGAGAUAGUUAAUCCAUCGGAGACGGCAGCUCUUUCCGCAGCGGAGGAGUCCGGCGUUUCGAGCAAUGUCAGUCCAGCAACCUUGGCCAUUGGAGAGCAUGUAUCUCAUUAGCUUCUCAUCCUCAUCCGGCGACCAAAGCCCUUUCCUCAGACGGAUGUUGGCGGCGGCGGUUGAACAAUCACCUGGCUUCCUCAUCAAUAUGUUUAACCUUUAUAUUAUUGUUUCUCUGUAUAUAUAUAUAAUAAUGUGCAGUACUUAAAGCUUAUAUAAGUGAUGUGUUUUUGUGUAGUUGGAAGUGUGAAAUAAUAUAAUGUUUAUAUGUAUAAGGGAAAUUAGAGGAAGGGGGGGAAGGCUUGAUGUUGUGGUAACGGUGAUGAUGAUGGCGAUGUGGUUGUGGGGUUGCUUAGAAUGUCAAUCUAUGACUAAAUGUCUCUCUAGAGAGAGAGAAGAAAAUGAAAAGAAAGGAUAUUUCUUUGUUGGUUGUUUAUUCAUAUAGCUAGCUAGGGUUGAGUGGACAAAACGGAUUGGAAGGGGACCUAUAGGAAGAGAAGAGUGGGUUGAAAUGUCCAUUGAAACAUUGAUAUGUUUGUAAGUGAGAAGAUUCGAUAUCAACAAAAAGUGAGAGAAUUAAAAUAUAUAACUAUUCAUAUAGGUCCAGAAUAAAAAUACUUAAUAUUGAUAUAGUUGAAGUAUCUAUAUAUUGAUAUGUUAAAUAUAUAUGUCUUGCAUUUACCUUCAAAACAAGGUUUAAUUGUGGUUAUUUUUAUAAAAUACAUUUAAAAAUAUUCAUUCAUAUAUCCAUAAUUUUAUAAUAUAGUUAUUGACAUAGCUAUAUUGAUAGAGAUUAAGUCAUCACUAUCCAAACUAAAACAAUUUGAUCUCUCUAACAAUAUAACAAUGUUUGUCAUUGCUCUAUUAUAUUUCUCAUGUUGAAGAAUUUUGUAUUUUGUUAUAGAGGUCAUCCACCGACCUUCAAAAUUAAACUCUUUCAAACACGUUGGAGAAUUAAAAAAAUAUAUAUUAUUUAAGUUUAACAUGAAGUAAAAGAUUUAAACUUUUUAGCAACACAAGUUCACUUUUGAAACUAUAUUAUUUAUAUCAAUUAAAUUACUAAUUUAAUAUCAUAUAGUUUAAUUUAUGAAAAAUGUUUGAAUUGAGUGAUCCGUACGAUUUAUUCUUAAAAUUUAAUCUCUACCGUCUAAUAAAACUCUUAUAAAAUUGAAUGUUCAAGAACUCUUAAUCAACUCUCACAACCUUUUUCUAAUCAUAUGCAACAUUAUCUUUUGUGGCCUAAAACUUGUUUGUAAAAUCUAAACAAAUUCAGAUUGAUAUACCACAUAAAUAAUAAUUGCUAAUUGAAAAAUUAUAUUCUUAGAAGACUGCUAAAAUUUUAUAGGAAAAAUCAUAAACUUGUUUGUAUAAAAUUUUAAUGGUAUAGAUAUCAUCUAUUUGAUUUUUUUUUUUAUAUACAUUAUACAUAUCAUCUAUAUUAUAUAAAGAUAUCGUCAAAAAUAGAAAAAUUAUCAAAAGCAUUUCUACUAAAUCUAGUCGGUGAUCCAAACUCGUAAUUUUCAAACCUCCUCGAAUAUUUUUUUUUAAAAAAAGAGGAAGAGAGAGAAGGGUUGUGUUCUUGUCUUUGACUCAAUUAGGUUAACUUUUUUUAAAUGAAAUAUUUUUCUUCACUCACAAGGUAAUCAUCAUUCUUUUAUUUCCCAAACAUUUUUGCUUCCACUUCACAUAAUCAAUCAAUCUCUCUCUCACUCUCCAAACUUACACGUGAAUUUUAAGUAUUAAAUCGAGGGAGAGAAAAAGAGAAAACAAAAAUAUUAUUUUAAAAAAAAAAGUGCUUUUGAGUUCGGUAAGUCGGUGGAAAAUAAUACCCAAAAAUUAUAAACGAUAAAACUAUUUAAAAUAUUUACAAAAUAUAGCAAGUUUUUCAAAUUUUAUCAAUAUCUAUUAAUGUACUAUUAGAAUUUUUAUAAAUAUUUUGAUUCGUUAUACUAUAUUUAAAAAUAUCCUUUUUUUUUUAUUUUGCAUCUAUAAUUUGAUUUCUAAAUUAAAUAUGAUUGUUUGGUUUUGAAAAUGUGUUUCAAUGGACACUAACUUUAAUUAUUUAAACCAACAACCCUAUUUUUAACAUACUCUUCAACCAAAUUAUAUCCCCAACUUCUAAAGCAAAUCAGACCCCCUAUAUCAUAUAUCUAUACAUUAUUUAUAUUAUUUUCUCUUUAUCUUUAUUAAUUAAUAAUGAACACAUUAAUUGGUUUCCUCUCAAUUAUAUAACUACUGAAGAAAAAAAAAUAGUUACAAAUUCUCUACCUCUAAUGAUGAGUAGGUGACAAUCUCAACUGAAAUAUUUUUAGUAUUAAGAGAGUAUCAUACUCAUUUUGUUUUGUUUGUAUAGGAAAUUUGUAUUCUCAAAUAGCAUAUUAAUACCGAGAUACUUAAAAAAAUUUCGUUCUUUUUAGAGGAUUGCUUAAAAAGUUUGCCCAUCAAAUGUAUUUUAUUUAGUGAAAUGAUAAUUUUAAAUUAUAUUGAUUUAAAAACGUGUGAGAAUCACUUUUUUAAGAGAUUUGAUAUAUGUUAAGGGUUUCUUCUUUUAUAUAUAUAGAAAAUUUGGGGAGAUAUUGGAAAGAAUUUAGAGGCACAAACUUUCUAAUAAUUGGUGAAAUAAUUUGUGGGAAUUUCUUCCAGAGGCUUUAAAAGCAAUGACAGACCAAUCAUAGGGUGAAAAGUUCAAAGUACCCAAAAAUAAAAUCGUACAAAGAAAAUUGAAUUAAAUAAAGAAAUCAAUAGAUGGCCAAAAUAAAUAAAUAAAUGGAUGCAUUUAAAAAAGUAAAAAGUAAAUACAAAUACAAAUAAAAAUGAAUGCAUUUAUGCGAUGAAAAGCAAGUUUUCUCAAUUUGGCUUCUCAUAAAAAGGAAUUUCAAAAGAGUGCUAAAAAUAUUCCAUAUUUUUAUUUGUGGAUUGCACCCAUGAUUUAGAAAAAUUCACUUUUGUUUAGGAGCUGUUAAAGUUGUUUAAACACUCUAAAACUAUUUUUAUUAACAAUAAAAGUAGUUAGACUGUUAUUUUCUGUUGUAUUAGUUGUAUUAGUUAAUCUGUUAUUUUCUGUUGUAUUAGUUGUGUUAGUUAAUCUGUUAGACAGUUAUCAGUUGCUGCCAAGAAUCUAUAAAUACCAAGCUUGGUUGAUGUAAAUAUCCUAGACAUACAGAAAUAAAGAAUUUACUGCAGUCAGUAAAUCUUUUCUCCCAAAUUCUGCUUCUUCUGUUAAUUUUUACUCUACAUUCUCAUCUCAUUUACUCCAAAAACGACUUAACGUUUUUAGAUAUUAAUCGCUUGAAAAUCUAUUCAAACCAUCGAUCUUAUUCAAACCAUCAAUCUCAUUUUCUUCUAAGUUAUAAAGAUUUAAGAUUCACUAAUGGUUGUUGCACUUAUGUUCUUAAUCUUGCAAAGUUAAAAGUUAAAUCAUCCUACUUGUCUAAAUUUUAAAAAUGAUUUUCAAACUUACACAAAUCACUUGUCUAAAUUUUAAAAUGAUUUUCAAACUUACACAAAUUAUAUCAUUUUAGAACUUUAAUUCUUAUCAUUUGUUAAAUAAUUAUAUUAUAUUAUUUUAGAACUUUAAUUCUUAUCAUUCUAAUUUUAGCAAUUUUAAAAAUUUAAAACUUUUAGAAGUUUAAAUCUAAUUUUUAUAAUUAUUAUAGGUUUGAAAGUCUAGAAUUUUUAUAAUUAUUAUAAAUUUGAAAGAAUAGAAUUUUUAGAAGUUUAAAGAUCCAACUAUUAUUAUGAAAAAAUGUAAUUAUAAUUGGGAUGGAAUUUGUGCUAUUUAAUUUUACAUGGAUUGAACCCAAAAAUUGAGAUAAAUUAACCUAUAUGAUAAUAAGCAUAUAGAGCUUUUAACCUCGAAUUAUGCAAACUCAAACCACACCACCAUUGGAUCUUUGAAACAAAUCUAUUAUUCUAAUAAAUAUGGUUAGGUUUUUUUCUUUUGUCAUUUAAUUUUUUCCAACUUCAAAAAUUAUUCUUUAUGAUUUGAAAUAAGUUUUUUCUGCCAUAACUCAUCGGUAAAAUGUAACUAAAGAAAACUUAGAUUUAACUCCAAACUACCAAACCCAAAGAAUAAGAUGAACAUGUUAAUCCAUAAUCAAAUUCUCCAAUAUGACUGCACAUAUUCGUCAAAUUUUAAAUUGUCCAACAUGGAUAUAGUUAUGAAGAAAAAUCAACUUCUUAUUGGCAUCAUACAUAGAAAGAGAGGCAUUGCCGCCCGUCAUGCAAAGGCAAAAAAAGGGGAGGAAAACACCAAAAGUUCUCUUUUCAUGGUUGAAAAAUGGUAGAGAGCUCAAAGCAGGAAGAAGGGAUCCCCAUAAUGUAAAAAUUACCCUUUUCAGAGGCUGUUGAAGUUCACAGGUUCUCGCAAGAACCGCUCCAUCUGUUUUGCUCUGGUCUUGAUCGACAUGUCGAACACUUUCUCCCCAAAUUCUACUACUAUUCCGCCAAGAAUACUUGGAUCAAUCUGGCAUAUACAAGAGAUUAGAUGUGCCUGAUAAAAGGGCUAAAACAGACCAAAAAAUAGGCAAACCCUGUGAUUUUAAGUACCUUCUGUUCAAGCUUGACCUUUUUCCCCUCUCCAAUAAUAUACUGUAGAGUCUCCUUCAGUUCUUUCUCUUCUUCAGCAGGAAGGGGCUGUGGCAAAAUGAAAAUUUCAAAACAGAAGGAUUUGUUCUUUUUUCUUUUUUCUUUUUUUCUUUCGUAAGAAAAAACAGGAGGGUUUCAAGUACUAAUACCAGACUUCCAUUGGUUUUAUGUUAUCAUCCUAAUGGCUUCAAAUACUAAGUUGGGAUUUCUAAGCUAAAUAUCUCUACACUUGGAGAAACUGAACCACAUUUUACAACUUUUAACAUUGAUUUUUUUUUUUUAAACUUUGUAAUUACAAGAUAUAACAAGGUGUAAGGCAAUACAUUUAUAUCCUAAGCAUUACCUGCCAAGUCCCACAUCUAUGUAUAUUAACUUGUUCUUGGACGUUGAAUCCGAAUUAAUAUAAAACCAUGCAAUAGCAUCAUGUACAGCAAAAGAAUUAAGCGCUAUAUAGGUAAAUGAAUGAUAGCCAUAUGCCAUAUUAGAACUUAUAACCAUGGAAGAUAAUGAAUUUCAUUAUAGGAGCUCGGGAACUUACAAUAACAGUAGACACAAUGGCUUUCACCUCUCCUCUAUGAGCCAUUGUCAACUCUUGAAACUUCUUUGCAAUGCCGUCUACGUAUUUCAGCCUUCCAUUCUCAGCCAAUACAGCUGGAUAGGAGUGUGAUUAUGAAAUGGUGUAUCAAAUUGUUUACUUAAACAUACCAUUUUUUCUUAAAUUAAAGAAAGAAAACAUCAAAAUUUUAACGCUAUGAGUAGUAGUAAUACCCAAAAAGUUCUUCAUAAUUUCUGAAAACUUAGCAUCAGCACAAACAUCGCUAAUAACCUUGACCUUGGUAUCUUUAUGCACUGUGGGAUCACUAAUGAACUGAGAGAAGGUGGCACUUCUCUUUAAAGCCUCGGCAAAGUCUACAAGCUCUUUCUCAGCCUUAUCCAAGGAAUUAGCUUUUACUGCGGCAAGGUACAAAGCAGAGGCAUAGUUUCCAGUCCCCCCAAACAAAACCAGAGGAACCUACAAUGCCAUACAUAGAAGAGAGCUAAAUGAAAAUAACCAAAUUAUGUGUAAAUAUAUCGGAAAAACAUGUCACAUGAUACUCUGCAUUUCAUUAAGCCACAACUGAAGAUAACUGGUACAUAAAACUAGUGAAACUUUUAAGUCUUAGUAAAUGCAAGCCAGUUCCAUUACUUUAACUUUUGCCUCGCUUUUCUUGGAAGAAGUUGCAUAGUUCCUCGAGAUCUGCACUUGAAGGAAAACAAACAUUCACAUUAAUUCAAUGAAAGGAUUAAGUUGAUUCAAUAAUCAAGAGCUGAGAGAUGAAUGGUCACAAUACAAUGAUUGAAUAUAAACAACUACAAACACAUGACAACCAGAAAUUUCACAUCCAUGAGGAUUGAAGCAGACUAUAAUUUGUGCCUACUCAAGCAAAACAUUCAAGACAGACUCUGGAGGCCAAACAGAUAACGAUCCAUGAUGGAAAUGAAUACAAAGAACUUGGAAUUUCUUUGAGUUGCAAGCAGGAGUUUGAGAAUCAACUUACGAAUCUAUUUGCUUACUAAGAAAAAAUAGGAGGCGAGGAAACAUAGAGAUUAGUAAAUACUUUCAAAAGCUAACAGGAGUUUUUGCCACCAUUACUUGGAACUGGCUCUCAGCGAAAUCCAAAAACCAACAAAUUCAGGACUAGUUUGUGCUAAAUUAAGUGGAGAAACUUCCAUUUACCCGUAGAAGAUUGAAUAUAGCUCUCCUAGUUCAAUUGAGCGUCUCAUCAUAUUCCUUUCCCCUAUUCAAAAUUCCAGCAAAGUACGGUAACAGGUAGAACAUAAUAUUAAGAGCUUCUACUGGUUAACUUGAAUGAGCAAUCACUAGCUUGGCUAAAAAUGGCGUCAAUCUCAUCAGGUUUGGCUGAUUUUGUUUUUUAAACCGAAAGUGUAAAUAUCAGAAAUUAUGAAGAAAAAUAUCACAAAUUAUGAAGGAAAAAUGUUUUUUGGUGAACAAAUAACCUUCCAUUGAGGAAGAAAUAAAAAAUACAUGGUCAGAGACUGUUUACCCAACCUUUCUAUGGAGAAGAAUUGUUAGAAACAAAAAGGGAAUUGACAUAUGGCAACCAAGCAAUUGAUUGUCUACCAAAAAGUAUUCCAUUAAAAUUACUAUUUACCCAAGCCCAUCAUUUCGGUAACUCACAAGACCCUGCAAAAACCAUUUGAGUGAGUCUUUUCCUAAUGCUUGAAAAGUGAAGAGAUUGUUUUGUUGAAAUGAAAAUAUUAUAGCCUCCAAGUCCAUGUAAUGGAAACUCCAAGGCAGAGAUCAGAGAAAAAAAUAGACGAAAUCAAAUUGUGUUCCUGCUUAUAGUAAGUGCUUUCCCUCGAUGCUUCAACUUCUAAGGCAUAACUUUCUUAUAGGUUUAAUUUGAAGAGAAAAAGUCCCAAAAAGCAACAAUUUCACUUAGGAGUUAGGACACGGAUUCAUAGAAACUUAAGUAUGCAAGGAAGAUAGCAAAGGAAAGACCUCCUUCAGUUAUUUUUCCCCAAAUUUGUGUGAACUGCAAAAGAAACCAAUACAUACGGAAAUACAUUACUACAUGUUUCGUCAUCACCAACUGAAUUGGCUAGAAGUUGAUUUUUCCUUUUUUAAAAGUUUGUUUCAACAAGGUUCAAACCGAAAGAUGCCACAAAAAUUCUUAAGAAAAUGUUGCAAGGUUCUUCUUCCGAGCUACUUAAACCGAACCUCCAAAAGAAUCAUUCUCCAUAGCAUAUAUAAGAACUCCUAUGAUUUCUUGAAACUAGCUAAAUACAAACCUUAAAUUGGAGUGCUUUACAAAAAAGAAACCAUGCAUCCCAGGUACCCACUUAAUUAAUUAAGAUCAAAGCCAUUCGUUUAAAACCCUCUUUAGCAGGGGGGAAUGCCUCAUCUCCAUGAUCUUUCCGAUGUACGAUGCCUAAGCUCCCAUCCAAUCGUCUUUAUUUCUCAAGCUUGUAUUCAAUUAUAAACCAUAUCGAUAAUGUCGAUGAGGGAUUCGCAAAAUCAUAAUCGAUCAUGAAGGGGAAAAAAAAAAAAAAAAAAGCAAAACCAUUAGGGAUUCGCUAAUCGUUCCUCAUUCUACAUCACUGACGAUUUGACGGCACUAAAGCCCAUCAUCACUUCUUAUCCCUGCUUUUUCCCGCAAAUCAAAUGGAUAUUAGGAAAUCAAAGCCCAUAUACAGGAAAGCACAGUAGGAGACGAAAUAGAUUGAGAAAUAAAUGAUUCUAACCUCGGAGUUGGCAGUCGUGGGGCAAAGUAGGGCUCUUGUAAGAGCAGAUCUCUGAGCCUGUGACUCCGAUUUCAGAAGCUGAUUGAAUUGAGGAAUGAUCGAUCUCAUACGCCCAGCCAUAGCCAUUUCACAAAAAGGAAGGAUAAACCCUAGUUUUUUCUAAUUGACGAAGGACUGAAGCGAACAGCUAAUGGGACAGAACUACAAAGCGGAGAACUUUUUUUUGCGAAGUGAAGAAGCCUCAAGGUUGAUGGAGCCGGUUGAAGAACCGGCACGUGCAUUGCACAUGUUGUAUGAUCGGUCCGGAAAAGUAGAAACCCAUGCUUGUAUGACACGUAGGAUGCUACAGCCAUUGUAAUAAUGCCACGUCGCAAAGGCACAAUAUUAAUUUACUUAUCAUCAAAUAGGGCUUAUUCGUAAGUUUAUUGGCACAUUGUUUGACAUGUAUGAUACAACCAUUUUGGUGUAUGGGGUGAAGAACAUUCUCUAGAAGUAUAAGUUUUUAGUAGGGUGAUCAUCCAUUAGUUGGAAUCGAUUUUUUUUAUCAAACUGUCACUGAAUCGAUUAUGGUUGAUUUAGUAAAUGUUCAAACUGAUUUUGAUCAUCGAUGAAUAAAUGUCGGUCGGUUGGUAUAAUACUAUGAAACAUAUUUGGAAAUUUCUCAAUCUGAAACUUUCUCAAACCAAUAUCGUUGGUUGGAUCGGUUUUUUGGUCUAUUAUGUUGACCCUUUGUUUGUGAGAAAGGAUUCGUGUGAAGAGUUGAAGUAGAAAUGAAAUGCAAUUAUGAUGAAAUCCAAUAGAAAGGAAAAUGUUAUUCCUUUGUUCUUAAUUAUUGAGGUUGUUAGUGAAAAGUGGGUUUUCAUCAAGAAAUUCUCUCUUCCAUGUUACUUUUCUGUUCACUUUUACAACUUACCUUUCUUCCACGUUUUUAGUACAAGUCUCAUAAAAUGAUCAUAUAUCAAAAGGAAUUGUAUUGCUGUACAUUUACUCUCAAACUUGAAAAAAUAAAAACACAGAUAUGGAACUACAAACUUGCAAAUACAGCAAAAGAGAAGAAUUCUUCAAGUAGAAAACAUUUCAAGCAAGAACUUAAGUAUGAAGAUUAAGGGAAGAAGAAGAAUAUGUAGAGGAUUAUAGUGGUCACCUACAUCUACUCUCAAUAAGGCAUCAUCAAAUUUUCAUUUAUCAAGUGUUUUCAACAUACAUACAGAGGGUAAACUCACAGAAUUUUUCUUUUUUUCUUCCAUUUAAUAAAGUAUAAUUUCUCAGUAUUCUCAUCACUGCUCAUCAUGCAUUUUUUAACUUGCCUCUUUUAAUUAUAAACAAUGUUAUGAGUUGAGGACUAAAGAAACUGAGAGUUUCAAAACUUGGUUAAUUUUUUUUCUAUUUUAUUUUCUAGUUAAAGAGUGUUUCUUUUGCAUGUUCUUUAACAGGUGUUUUCUUAGAAACAUGUUUUACUAUUUUACUAAUUUAAUAUAGUUCUGUAUAAGUACAAAGCCGACUAUUGAUUGAGCUAGAAAAGGUCGUGUCAUCCACUAAUAAACUCAUGAAGCUUUUGAGAGUCAUGCCCAUGAAGAGAGGGAUGGAAGACUUCUUCAUUUAAAACUAGAAGAGAAAAAAGUGAAUUAUAUAUAUAUAUUAUACGUGGGAACAAAGAAAAAAAAAACUGACCUCUCGCUAGACCAUACAUUAUACAUAUAUUAUAUAUACUUAAACAACAAUUGCUCGAGUUGCCUAACGGAGAGGCAAACCAAGAUUAAGAUCGUAUGAAAACCAAAACCAAAACCAUAAGCACCAUUUCUAGCAGAAAAUCAAGAGAAGUUCAUACAAAUACAGCAGCAAGACACAACUUUCUCUAAAUGGUGUGUUAUUAUAUUGUAAAGAAUACUUUUUCUAUUCAAUGAAACUCAGUUCAAGAAAAUUUGUUUGGUGGCUAAAUACAGCAAUCUUAUCAACAUGGAACUUCUCCAUUAUCUGUAAGCUUACAAGAAAUGAGUACAACACAAAAAGAAUGAAAGAAUAUUCUAAAUGAAUGACACUUUGGCUCAAGUCUUCGUGAACUUUUUAGUUGGAAAGAGUGCAAGGCUUGAGAAACCAAAGAACGUCCAAUGCUUUUGCUUCUUUUUCAACAACAGAAGAAAUGGCUUUAACUCUCUCAGCAGAUACCUCUCCUUUUGUCACCUCCUUUACCUCUUCCAUUUCCUUCUCCUAAUCGAAAACACAGAUGAUCAAUCAGAGAAGUUUGAGCAGCUGUUAUAUAAUAAUAAAAACUCAUGGUUCCAUUCCUUACCUUAAGUCUAGAUCUCGACGCUUUUGAAGCAGGAAUUUUGUUCGGUGCACGUAUGCUGGAAAAGCAUUGAGGAGAUGGAGGAUUGGUUCGGAUUUGCAGUGUGUUGUCGUCUCUUUUGUGCCAUGCUCUCUCCAAGUCCAGAGGGAUCAAGACAUUUUCGCCGUUUGCCGCACUUUUGCUGCAUCAAAUUUUGUAUAAACUCAUCAUUGGCUAAACACAACAAAACGUGUUCUGGCAUAGGCUUAAAAGCCAAAAAAAUGGUACUUUCAUAUUAGGCACAUGAUUGACAAACAGCACAUGAUUCGCAAACACACAUAUACAAUAAUGAUCCUUUUUUUUUUUUGCUUUACCCUUUUAUAUUAGGCAUACGAUUCACAAACACACAACAAAACGUGGCAAGAGUCUAAAGCAAGAAGAUUGAAAACAAAUUACUCACGUAUUGAUCCUUUUCUUUUGCUUUACACUGUUGCUGAUUGAUCCAUCAGAUUUCUCUAUACUAAGUUCACCAAAUGGCUUCCUCUGUUUCUCCUUCUUUUCAAGAUCAUUCAAACCCUUGGCCGAAACCUCCUUCUCCUUCUCUGCAAAUUUCUUCUCACCCUCAACACCAUUCUCCACAGCUGAUUGCUGCUUAACAUUCUCUCUCUCUCUUACCCUAAUAGCCAUUCUCUUUAUCUCAUUACAAAACUCUGUAAUUUGAUUCAGAAUAUCUCGUCCUGCAAAUAAGUUCCUUGCUGAAAGUGUGCUUUUCAGCGAUGGUGCCCCGUUGUUCUUCUGUUGCCCAUCCUCCAUCAAUGGCUUCUUCUCUGCACUCGAUUUGAUCCCUGCCUUGGUAGCUUUGGCUGAGUGGCUUGGAGGCGUAGAAGAAUUGGGAUUCUGAUUCUCAUUAUUUGAAAAUUGAGGAGGCCCUCUUCUCUUCAACUUUCCAUCUCUGAAUUAACCCAAAAGGGGAAAUGAGAAGAAAAAAAACUCAGAUCUAUUUGAAAUGAAGAAAAUCCUACUGUCAAAGUUACUAAAACUUAAACUAUUUUAAUGAACUACAGUACCUUCCUAUACGAUCACUGGAUUGAAGAGUAUCAGUGCUGUAACCCGGGCUUGUAAGCUUCAAAAAAAGAACAAGGCAGUAUAUUUAGAAGAAAAGAACAUACGUGCAAAGAAAAAGAAAAGAGAAAACUAUGUGCACUGUGCCCUGAUUUGGCCAGAUUAGCUUAGCUCAAAUCUGCAAAAUCUUCACAUUCUUUCCGCUUAAGCGUCAAUCAAACAGUACGAAAUCAAAGGUCAAGAAAAUGAAAGAGAGAAAUAAACCGAUACCUUCGUAGGAGUUACCCGAAGUAAUUCCUCAGCCGUCUUCGGAUGCUUACAAUCUACACAGAACCAAAAGAAAACAAAACCCAUCAUUACCUAAAAAUGCAAAAGAACUCACAGAAAAGAGUUCAGAAUCCAAGAACAUGAUCGAUCGAAAAAGAAACUCACCGGGUCGACAAAACCAGGCCUCAUCAUCCACGGGGUCGUGGAUCGCGGUGAAAUCGACCCAUUUGGGGGCGUUGAUGUGCUCGUACAAUUCGUCCUCUACGAAUCUCCAUUGAACAUUUUUCCAGUCGACUUUUGCUGGUUCCAUUAUCGUGCUCGAGAAGAUGGAGAAUGGAGAAGCCGAUAAAGAAGAAGAAGAUGAUGACGAAGAAGAAGUGACCGUUGUGUUGGAGAAUUCUCUGCGUUUUUUUGUGAACGUUUUUGUGGGCAGCUUGGUUUUGACCGUUGGAGGAUUUUUCUUUUCUUUUCUUAAUAUUUUAUUGUUUAGUUAUAAAUAAAUUGUUAGGUUGUUGGGCUUUUUAAUUUUGGGCCGGUUCGCUUCGACCCAUCAACUCGGUUUAUUUUUGUUUUAGGUAAUUACACUUUAUACAAAUUUAGAACAAUAAUAAUUAAGUAUAUAUCAAUACCUAAAUAUAGCAAAAUGUAUGAUUAUUAAAUUUAUAUGGUUAAUACAGUUUAACAGAUUUUAUUAUAUUUGUAACUUUUUAUUAAUACUAUUAUAUUUAAAUAUAAUUGUUAUAUUUGCAACUGUCGUUAUAAUGUUUAUAAUUAAGCUAAUGCUUAAGGUCUAUUUACAAUUUAACUCCUAUAGUUUCAAGAAUUUCUCAAAUUUUGGUUCUUAUAUUUUAAGUCUUUAUAUUCUUAAAUGUCAAAUUUUGAUCAUUGUACUUUAAAAUAUUAAAAUUAGUCUCUCCUAGUGGUCUGUCAUUAAUUAUAUAUAAUAGCACUUUCACCAUAGAUUAUUGUAAACAACAAAAACGGUUAAACGUAUUUACAAAAUAUAACAAAAUUUUAGAUUAUAUCAAUAAAAUAGAAGAAAUUCUAGUGGUGUUUAUAAAAUCCAAAAUGCUACUAUAUUUGAUAAAUAUAUUGGCUCGUAUUGUUAGAUUUGAAAAUGACCUUAAAAACAUAUUCACUUUAUUUAUUUUGUGACAUUAAAAUCAUUAUUAAUACCGUUUCCUAAUUCUAGAUCUUAAAAUAUGUGAGCGAAAAUUAUAUUAUAAUUUUCUUAACAUUUGGGUUGGAGGUUUGUAUCCUCAAAUUUCCACUAAAACAACAAUACAAUACACUGUGAUAUAGCUGAAUAAAGGAUAGAAGCAAAAUAAGCUUUUCUAAAAUACUAUGAAAUUUAGCCAACCACAAACAAAAUUCAAUACAAAAAAUAAAUUGACAGAAACAAGUGAAAACAGGUAAGUAAAGUCUGGAAAAGUAUAUCAUUCUCACUAUUUCUUUUACAAAACUUGAAAUAAAUGAUCAAAUGAAUUCAUGGUCUUUCACUAACAAGAGUCACUUAGAUUGAACAAAUAUGUAACUCGAACAAUUGGGUUAGAUCCAAAACGUCUAUAUUAACCUAAUCUAACUCACCCCAACUCCACAACAUCCUAAUUUGAAGCAGUUCGAGGCGACCCCCAGUCCGUAAAAUGACUACAAAAUAAUCUAAUCUUAAUCUAAGAAAAUAACUAGACUUCAAUCUUAAGGCUAAGCAGUUAACAAGUUAAGAAGAGGGGUUACAUUUUCUUUCUUUCUGUUGAUCAUAAGGCAAGCGUGGGGAGGGAGAGAGUAAGGAUUAGAGUGUACUUGAUUCGCUUAGUUAAGUAGAGAUUUACAAAAUGUGGAGAGAAAUGAAAGUGAGAAGGCAAAAAUGGGAAAAGAUGAACAAGAACAAAAUGUUAGAGCUUCCAAAAUCUACUGUCAGUUAUCACUGGCCGAUGCAUUCGUGCUUCCAUCUCCGAACACCUCGAUGUUGCAGAUUGGACAUAUCUGAUAAAAACGAUGGUGAGUGACGAGGUAGAACAUCAAGUUAGAACAGAAAUGGUGGAAGUAUGAUAUGAGAAUGCCAAGAAAAUUACUGACUUUGUUGAUGGUGAGCCAUUUGGUUAUGCAUUUGUUGUGGUAGAAAUGCUUGCAGGGUAAUUUUAUUUGUUUGUCCCCUCGCUUGUACCUCAUUUGGCAAAUCACACAUCUGCAGUUGAAACAAAACAAGUACAAUCAAAUAUUCCAGUAAUGAAUACUGUAUCGAGAAAGUACCAAGAUGUAAACAUCUUCUUGUGUCUCAUAUGACUAUCUUAUUCGUAACAUUGGUUAGAGGUUCGAGUUCAACAUUGCUACACUAAAAACUAAAGAAACCAAAGUGAAUGUAUUAACGUGUACUAUGACAGAAAAAUGGAUCCAUAUGACUUCAGUGUAGACACAUUGACACCAAACCGAUUAAACAUCUCGGUUUAUAGAAACUGUCAUCUACAUUGACACCAGACCGAUUAUUGACAGAUGAUUCAAAGUUAUUCUGACAGGAGUCUUCUCAUAUACCCACCAAGUAAAGCAGAUUAACAAAGAUGGUGCAAGAUAACUGAAAUGUAACAUUUGUCAAAAACUGACCUCUCAUCGAGCUUUUUUCUUGAGAAAAAGCUCGUUAACUUGCAUCGUGCAGUCGGAAGCAAACUUAUUUGUUCUUCAGAAAGACCCCGACUUUCAGUUCCAACUGAUUCACCCAAGUCCAACAGUUCCUGUAAAACCAUAUAAGAUCAUCUGCACAGUCAUGGCUAAAGGCAGUCCUUUUAUACUCUUCUGUUUUAUACAAUAAACUUCUGUGGAUCCCAUUUAUUUGACAACCAACCAUAGUUCAUAUGGCCAUAAGAAACUAGCGGCUAGUUGAUAAUUGAGCUAAAAAUCUUUUUCUUUAAACCAAAAUAAUCAUGCGCUCAAUAAAACAUUGGUUUCAAGUGAAGAACAGCCUCAACUUCUAUAGGGCAAUCUAUUGAAGAUUUACAGAACAUUUCUUAAAACAUGUUCUUAAACAAAUCUGGUUUGUAAAUGAUAGAGUUGAAAUCAUACCUCAUAAGUCAUGUGGUCAGGAUCAAUCUCAUCUUGCCAUGUAACCUGAAGAGACGAACAAAAGAAGACUGAUACAAUGAGCCCUACCAAAUAAAAAAGGAACCUAUUCCCAUAGUUCAAAAGCAAUGGAACUUCGUUGGGCACAAAACUGAUCAGAAAGAGAAACUUUCUGACAUAAACUAAGACUUUAAGAGUAAUAACAUUUGAUGAACAUUCUACAACCUUUGAUGAUAAUAAGAUGAAACCCUAGUUCAUUAUUUACUGAACUACGUGAAAGGAUACCAAAUAAUUUUUUUACUAAGCCACGGUUCGUAAGGAGCAUUAAGUAGAUCAUGGUCAUAACAGAAAAAUAAGGCAUAUUGCGAAAUCAAGGAGAAAGCAUCAUACUUGAGACGUACUAGUUUCCUCCCGAUGGCUUAAAUCACCUGCAAAACAGGAAACAAGGUAACAAGAUGCUGGUAAGAUCCAAACGUACCAACGAUUCAACAGGACGAUGUGAUAGUGACAAACUCAUUGUUAGCUUUGAAAAGUAUGAAAUAAACAGACUCGGUAUCAAAUUUGUCAACACUUACAUUCUUCUGGUAUAGAAUGAGCAUCUACAACAUCUUCCUCCACGGAUGGCGCAUAGGAUGGUUCGGGGAUUUCGACAUUCAUCGCUGAAGUAGGAUACUCCCAUUCCCUUUCACCAACAUCCAUUGAAGGUGGUAGAUGGUGACUUUCCUCCGAAUGGCCGUAAUACGUAUUCCCAUGAUCAGAUACUCCAAAUUUGUAACAUUGCAUAUUCAUUGACCAGUAAGCAUUUCCCUGAGAAACAAAUCACCGUGCAUUUCCAAUAUUAUUCUCUCAAAUGACAAAACUCGAGCUCGAGCAUUGACAAAUAAAUUGCAUCAGUUUUUCAUGACCCGCUCUGUUACCUGAUCGAGCAAUGGUACAGCAUUGCCAUAAGCAGGCACUUGAUGUUGGUGAAGCCCUUGAAAGAAAUCCAUGAAGCUCUCUGUAUUCGUGUAAGGAAAGCCGGUGUCCAUGUAAUGCAAUUCCAUUUGUCUAUCCUCAUUCAUCUUAAGCAACAAUCACAGUAACAUUUGCAAAAAAGACCAAAAGGAAAAUAACAUAUCAAACAAAAUGAAAUAUGAAAUGAACUUAAAACCUACAUUGUCAAAGCUUUAGAAUGAACUUAUCCACAACAAUCUGUUUGGUUGAUAAUAAAACUUAGAGGAAAAGAUGAGAAAGCAAAGGAAAUUGAAGAUUUGAAAUUUUCUAUCCAAUGAAAUAGGAAACAGACCCUAAAAACAUUCAAAAAAAACUUUAAAACAAACAUGAACAUUACACAAAACCAAAAGAAAAACUUACAUUUAACUUCUUUUGUCUCCAAAACGAAAAACACAAAGAAAAAUCUUAUGAUUUUUCUUACUUGAUAGCCAAACAGAAACUUCCCCAAGAAACUCUUCACACUCUGACAGAGGAAAAAUCUGAAGGAAUUAGACAAAUGUAGACAAAUGAGUAUUAAAGAUGUUAAAGAAUCCUAAGAAUCAGAUAAAAACAGACAAAUGAGCAAAAAAUAAAUAGGUACAGAUCCCAGUAUUCAUUAGAAUCUUCAUAAUAUCCACAAUAAAAACAGAACAAAAAAAAAAGGCUUCUUCUUCUAAAACUUAUCAAACAAACAAACAAACAAAAAAUAAAGGCUUGAGAAAUGAGGUACAAGAGAAGCUUGAAAAAUGGAAGAAUGACCUUAAACUCUCUCUCUAAAACUCCUUUUUUUUUUUUUUUUUCUGUUUCUCUCUCUCUCCAAAACUCUUGAUUUCUGGCAGAGUCUUAGCAGAGAGAGAUGAAAAUGAAAGGAAAUGGGGUUAUAUGGUUUUGUGUACCCUUCCUUUCCUUCUUUGUUCUUCAAUUUGUUUUCUGGCUAUAAUCCAUUUUCUUCCAUCUCUUUGCAAAAUGAAGGUUUUUAAGCUGCUUGGAAUGGGCUUUGAAAUCUUCUUCAAAUGGCAAAUGGGUAUUUUACAAGUUUCUCUUUUUUUUUACUUGUAUUUAUUUCGAUAAACUAAAGAGAGAGAAGAAAAAGAUUGUAUUUUUCUCGAAAAAAUAAAUAAAUAAAAGGGUGGUCCACUCUAUGUUCAUGGCCUCAUUUUAUCUUAUUUUAUUUUUCUUGCUGGCCAAACAUGUUUUUAUGUCAGAAACACUAUUCAAGAAAAAUAAAAUAAAAUUCAGAAAAGAAAAACAAAGUUAAAGAUAUAUAUAUACACACAUAUUGACGUGAAUUAUACUGUAGAAUUUAGUAUAUAAAUUCAACGAAAGUAUGAUCAUAUUCAAAUAUCAAAAGAACAGAAAAAAUAAUCACUGUUUUUCCAUUAAAAUGAAAUUUUUACCAUUUUUGAGAAGUAUACAUAUUUUCCAUAGAAGCAGAGAAGCUAUUCUAGUUGGCAGAGAGCAUGUUACAGAGAUUAGGAAUAUCCCAAGGAACCAUAAAGGGAAAACUAUUAUUUUUCUAAGAAAUGGCAUUUAAAAGGAAAAAUACUUGAGAAAAAUAAACAAAUAAAGGAAAGGAAAGGAAGAGUAAAGGCAAUUAAAUUCAGUUGAGGUGAGACUGAGAGACAGGACAUGAAGCAUCAGAAGAACAAAAUAUAAAAUAAAGCUUUUGUUUCUAAACUUAAGUCUUUAUUUAAUCCCUCACAUGUUCUUAUAACUUUAGGGUAUGCCAAUAUAUUCGUAACAUGACCACGGUUCUAGUUUCGAAACUCUCUACUAUAUUUAUAGAUCUCAUCGUAAUUAAAUAUAAACUUUUAUUAUCGAAAAUAGGUUCAUAAAACUACAUUGCUAGUAUUAUAAAAUCAAUAAAUAAGGAACAUACGACGUAAAAUAAUCAAAAAUAACAAUGCGUUGGAUAACUCGUACUUGGUCAUUGGAAGCAUCGUUUAACAGAGAUAGAGAGCAAUAAAGAAUUAAAUAUUGAAGGUAAUAUAUCAUAAGUUAAUAAACUGACUUGUAGUAAACAGAAAAGAAAGAAAGAAAGAGAAAUAAUGCAUUGGUACAACUUAGACGGUACAAAAUAAAAUGAUGUGUUAGAAACAAAAGAAACAGAAGUGCUUUUGAAUUUUUAGUUAUUACCAAAACAAAGUUUCUAAAGUCUCUGAUUCUUCUGAUUCUGAAUCUUAUCCUUCUUCUCAUCUCUUCUUUCUUUCUCUCUCUUUGUAGUUUUUCUUUUUCUUGUUUUAAUAAAUCACUUCUCUCACUGUUUUUUUGGCCCAUCAAAUCCAAAAUACACACUAAAGAAUGAUAUUAUUUUACUAAAGUAAAUUUUCAUACCUGUAUGUAUUUAUUUUCGUUAUCGAAAUCGGAAGUAUAGAAACUAAAAUUUAAGAAAAUUGAUUGGAUGAGAAAUGAUAUUUUAACGUAUAAAGGUGAAAAAGGAAAAAAGAGGAUAAGAUUUUAGGAAUAGUUUAAUGAAAAAUGUGUUUGUGUGUUUGAAAUUUGGUGAUGUAAAAGUGGAAGUAGUUGACAGUACCCAAAAAACAAUUGCCUUGUCUUGUUGUAUCUUAGCCUUUGCCUUUGCCUUUGCAUUGUUUUGUUUAUGUCUUCUCCCAAUAACCCCUAUCUCCUUCCUUUCCCUAUUUCUUUACUAUUUCAUUCUUUUGGGGGAAUGUUUUUAGCUGUGUCUCCUUUCCUUUUUCUUCUUUACUUUUAUUUUCAUAUACUCCCAAAUCUACUGUCAUUUACCCAACUCUCUGUUCUUCAUUCCUAUCUUCUUCAUUUCCAUCUUUACAUGCAAUGGGUUCGUAACACAACCCUCUACUAAUCUCACAUAAGAUUACGAGUUGUAGAAGUAUAUUGAGUUUUAGUAGGUGAUUGUGAUGAAUUGGAUUCUCAUUCACUCUAAACAACAAGACAUUAUACGUAAUUAACUCGAUGAUGUUUUAAUGGCUUUAUUGAGUAAGAUUUUCUCGUUGAAGAUGUGUUGUAUGUUGAAAACUUAGUUAAUACUUAUGUUUCUUGUCACGUAUCGAGAGAGGAGAAUAACUUAUGACUUUAUUUCACGAUGAUUUUUUUAUUUAUUUAGAAAGAUGGUUUUCUAGAUAGCAUUCUCCCCCUCGUCCACAACGAGUUGGUUAGGGAUCAGAGUAAUUAGUUUGUGCUACUAUUACUAUUUGUUGACUAAAAUAGCAAGACAUUUAUUGUACACCCAUGCAUGACGUUUGUUUGACCGCUAGGUCAACAACCCUAAUUUCAUACUCCCUCUAUGUAUUAUAAUAGGUCAUAUAAACAUACUUUUAAAUGUAAUUUGGAUCUAUUAACUUUAAUGAUAAAUUUAUAGUGUGAACAAAUAAAAUAUGGUAUUACUUACUUAAAUACUCUAAAUAGUAUUCCUAUAGUGUUCUGUGGUUGUUAUUUGGUCAUGAAUUAAGUGUUUUUCUUUUAAGAAUUCUAAAACGAGGUGUGAAAAAAACUUUAUAGACAAAAAGUAGACUUAUUAAUCACUGCCUAAGCUUUUUUUUUUUUUUCUUAUAACAAUGUUUGAAAUUUCUUUUGAAUGUUUAAUAUUAAAACUUGCUCACUUAGCUAAGCAUAAGAACAAAAGGUAUUUUGAAUAAUAGAUAUUUGGUAAGUAAAAUGAUGAGAUAUUUGCUCUCAACAUCAUCAUUAUCUCCUACCUCCACACCUUCUAAGCAAAGUGUUAACCAAAACCCAAUAGCUUAAAAUAAAAACCUACUCCCUAAUUAUUAAAACAUAUAUAAAAAUAUCACCGCUAUAAUAUAUACCGUCGUUUAUGAUAUAUACACCUAAUUAUCCACCGAACAUACCAUAUUAAAUUGUUUCCAAAUCCUUACGUUCAACACAUUCAUUUCUCUCUCUUCGUAGGUUACCAAACAAUCAAACAUAUCAACGAUGGUCUCCACGUCACCAACGUAAACUCAAUUCGAUUUGAAAUUUAAAUAAUAUUUGAAAGAAAAUGGAAAACAAAUAUGGGAUUUGUGAAAAAUGGGUCAGAGUCAUAAUCAUAUUUCCAUGUGAAAGAAAGAAAGAAAAAAAAAAAGAGUAAAAAUUGUUAGGCAAAAAGGACCACUACAAAACCUUGCUCCCAAGCAACGAAUUAAUUCUUUUGCCCUUUUUUCUAAAAUAUAUUUAUUGUUUUUUAUCUUUCUAAUUAUUAUAUUAAAACCCAAUUAAUUUAUUGUUUGCUCAUUUCAGAAAUUGGGAGAAAAAAUUAAAAAAGUUGGUCAACAAUUUUACAAAAAUAAAAUUGAAAAGAAGAAAAAGGGGAAUUGUUCCAAAGACAGAUUCUAUUUAAUUUGAUUGAGUCAACCCCGCUGAUGUUGGGGAUUAGUUUCUCAUAAUUAUGUUAUUACUUCUAAGUUUGUUAAUUAACUACAUCUCAUUGUACUUAUUGAUUAAUUAAACUAUUUCAAACUACACUUACUUCAUUUACUUUUUAAUUCAAAUAUCUACCGUGUAAUCCAUAGUAAAUUUUUAACAUAAAUGCAUGUUCGUAGUUUGUUUUUUUUUUUGUUUUUUUUUUAUUCGGCUAAAAUUUAACUUUUUGUUUGCUUUGGAAUUAUUUUCAAACAAAUGAUUUUUUUCUAAAAAAUAUUCAAUUAUUGGAGAUAAUAAUACUAUAUACACAACAUAUAAUUGAAAUAUCAAAUUCGUCGUGAUUUUUAAAAGUUAAAAUUUUAAAUAUUAAAACAUUUGGAUGUAAGAUUUAAAAAGUUGUAGAGUUAAUCGAGAUCUAAGGACUUUAUAUAUAUACAAAAAAGAAAAUUAAAACUAUAUAGAAAAAAGACUUGGUCUAGGUGGAGAGAGGGUUGUAAGGUAGAUUUAGUACUAGAAUAACUAACAAUUUCGAUAAUAUGUGGAGAAGCAAAGUUCAUCCAACCUUAAUGAAGUGGUUUAGUGAAUAGAGAGAAAAGAUUUUGGUAAUGUAAAAAUUGGAAAAUCUCCAUACCAUAAGUUAUUUAUUUAUUUAUUAUAUAAUAAUAAUAAUUGGAGAAAUAUUGAAGAGGUAAGUAACAAAGAGAUGAUUUGAAGGGUUGGGAUAAUGAAUGAAAAGAAAAGGAAGGGGGAAAUGGGAUUCCCUAUAAAAUCUUUAUAGAGACGUAAAAUCAAACAAAAGAAACUGUCCAACUUGUUAGAGGACAAGACCAAAGCAAAAGGAUGAGAAUUGAGAAUUGAGAAUUGAGAAUUGAGAAGAAGCUUUUUUAUUACCAAACCAUAUUAUUGUUUCUUUCUCCCCCUCGGACCCACUCUCUUACCUCUUUCUCUUUUUUUUUAACAUAUUUCUCUUUCUUUCUUUUUACCCAACCAAGCCACACAAAAAUAUAUUUGUAUAAUCAUCUACAUUAUUAUUAUUAUUAUUACCAACAUAAUCAAACCUCUUAUAAAGGUUGAUAGUACAAUUACAGUAUCAAUUCAAUUAUAUUUAUUUUAAAACUUUUGUACUGAUAAUUAGAGUAUCUAUUCAUUGGGUCAUACUCAUUUAACUUAAAAUGUCACCUUAAACUUCAAUAUUAAUUUAUAAAGUGAUACAACAUGAUCAAAUUUUAUUGAUAAAAUGUUUGUCUCAAGAUUAAUGAAUUAUUAAACUUAGAAGUGUAUAGAAAUAUUCGGGUUAACAACAAAAUUAACUCGAUUGGUUAUCCUAACCUAAUUCAAAAAAUUCGAGUUGAACCAAAUUGAAUUGGCAUAUUGAUUUUUUUUUUCUUUUUAUUUAUAGUUUAUUUUAGGUUUAUAUAUAUAUACACACACGCAUAUACAUACACAUAAUCGAGUUGGGACAAGUCAAUUCACCUACGGUUUGAGUUACUUUUAGAUUUAUAUAUAUACACGCACAUAAUAGAGUAAUCUAGGUCAAUCUAGUUAUCGAUUUUUUUAAUAAGAAUUAUAGAGUUAUUGAAUGGUCUCUUUUGGCAUUAAGUUUAGGUGGGCUACCAAAUUUUGAAUAGAAUACAAAAAUUACUACAUUUAUCUUUCCAAAUUAUGUUUGAAGAUACUAAUAAUAGAUUUGUUUUUACCCUUUCUUGCAAAGGACAUUUUCUUCAUCUUUUAGGAGCGUUUUUGUAACUACAAUUUUAACUCGUAGUCAAUCAGUUAGAAAUAAAAGGCAAAUCUAUAUAAUUCUACUUGAUGUUCAUAAACAUAAUCUACAUUAUAUGAGUAGGUAAAUCAAUCAUUUGUGAUUCUGUGAUAUACAGAUUCAUUUCCUAACGAUUCUUUAAUUGAAAUGCUAAUUCUCCAUCGCUCAAAUGAACUGAAUGAAGAAACUUUAUUGAAUGGUGAUAUGAUUAUAAGCUAAGGACACUUUUUCUGGUACCCAUAAUCUCAUCUCGAAAAACAUAAAACCCCUUUUGACCCUCUUGCUAGGGAAAGACUACAAAAUACAUAAACCUUAAACCCUUCUCUUCAACUUGCUCUAUUAUUUUUAAGCUUUCAACAGCUAGCCAGAGUUCACUUUUCCCGACUCUCGCAAGUCUCAAGCCCAUUAACAACCGAGGGGGGCCUAAACACACUAAGUGCUCUAUAAACUCUUUCUCCACUAUAAAAAUGAAAGCCUACAAAUUUGCUUCUUGCGAUGAGACCAAAGUUGCCACAUGACAACAAAUCACGCCUAUCUAUCUUUACCCAAUCAUAACAAAAAUCCUUCAUAUCAAUCACAAAUCUAUCUAUACUCGAAAGUGCCAAUAAAACAAGAAGAUUUUCCAUAACCAAAUGACAUGACUAGAAAUUUUUUUUGUCUAUGUUUUCCUUGGUGGAAUCGUACAUGAAUAUUGUCCAAGCACAAGUCUUUGCUCUAAGGGCAACCUUGUUGACCCCCAAAUGGCCUCCACAUGGAAACAUCAUAAUCAUGGCUAGAAAAGGAGACCAGCCCUUGGGAAGGCUAUAUUCAUCGAGAGGUGAUAAGGUAAAAAUUUGCCACCCACCUGUCUUUCCAGUCUGCUCUAAGGAGUAAACAUUGGACCAAUCCCUCAUUAUCCAAGGAGCUUGGUCAAUAAAAAUUCCCCAAUAAUCACCAACUUUACACCUAAAACCUCUGACAAAGAGAUCUCUACCCCACAAAAUGCUCCUCUAGAUGAAAAGGGUGCUCGCCUAUGGGGCCAUAAGGAAGCCCCAUCCACGAAAUACUUAUCCAUCAAGAUUUUAGUGACAAAGCCAUUAGGCUCUCAAAAAAUAUUCAAGCUGUAAUUAGCUCAAAGGGGUUGGUUGAAAAAAUAACUUAAUUCUAUAUUAGUCAGUUUAUCUUGAAGUGCCCAUAUCUAAUCUAUAUACUUUCAACAAAUUUAAAAAGAAGUAUACGUUGUUAGAAGGCUAAAAGAACUUCAUACUAUUGAUUUGUUUACAACUUAGUCUCUUUUAGCAUCUACUAGAAGGCUAAAAAUUGCAUUCCAAUACUUUCCAUGUAAUUCCAUGCAAACUUACAAACUAAGUGACAUUAGCCACCUCGAGCCUCGCGUCUGGUGGCAUCAUGCAACAACUCGACAUCAACACCAUCUGGUGGAAGUUGAACAUAUCUCACCACUGAUCCCCUGAUGAAACAGUUUCUCACAGAAAGCUGAAGACAGAAUUUGAACUCCAUAAGUUUAAUGACCACCAACAAAAAAUUACAUGUUCAGCUGACAAAAUGUGAAAUAAUUGACUUAACAUCAUGGAAAAACAAGAAUCUAUACCAUUCCUAAAAUAAUCAACAACCAACAUCUGUCUUUCCACUACCAUCUUCAUAAAGUAGUUUGCAAAAAAAUUGUUUCUCUUUUCAGAAUUUAACUAAGAAUUGAGGUGUUUCUUUACAAUAUGGGAAAUCUAUAGCAAGGACAUGGAAAGAGAACAAGAGAAAACAUGAAGAUAACUCAAAUAGAAACCCCGUUACCCUCCCCUUCAAAUCAUCAAAUAAAAACAACAACAACAAUGUCAAUGACUCAAUGGUUAAGACAUCUUUAUUUCUCUAGAGAGAAUCUUCUAAUUAAAUGAAUCAAAGUAACCUUAAUACAAAAGAAGCAGAAAUGAAAAGGGGUGCCUAUGAGAAAUGGUAAACAAAGAAAAACAAAAUCAAAGUUGGCCUCGCCUCAAGUGUAGAAAAUCAAAAUAAUUGAUCAAAUAUAUUGCAUAAAUAUAAACACGUCUGGAUACCAUAUGAGGGUAUUUUUCCUGAUCAACAACCCUGGUGUUUUCCAGUUUGAUGUUGAGAUACUGAUCUACAGAAUGCAGAGUUCCUCUAAUUGCUAGGUCGUUCUUCAACUCAACUGUCACCUCUCUGCCCACCAAAUCCUUGAAGUACGAGAAAAACAACUGACAAACAAAACGCAAAUCAAAUCAAAAUCCACAUACAUAAACCAAAUAUUGAAAAAACCGUGAAGGCCAGGUUAAAGACACGAGAAGAAAAAACAAAAAAAAGAAGCAACAAGCAACAACUUGAGCACCUAAAGUAAGAUAAACAGUAACGAAAACUUAAAAGACAGAAACCAGUAUGUAAAUGGAGUUACCAUUUUCACUAGAGGUUUGAGGUGAUAGCCUUCAGUCUAUCUACGCGUGAAGAUCAACGACUGUUGAAGGUUGAAAUGUCGUCCGAGCUAUCAAUUGGGAAAACACGCCUUUUUGGAUUUAGAGAAUAAAAGAUAAUCUAUAUCUGUACAAUAGAUGAUCUUAGAAAAAACACUUUCAGUUUUAAUGAAUUAUUAUAGCGUUAAAAUAAAUUGUUUGUAAACGAUACAUAUUAUGGCAAAUUAUCAUCGUGUUAAAUGCAUAAAUUUAUUAAUCAUUAUUUACUCCAUCGAAGCAUGCCACCAGUUGAAGUCCAGUGUCUAUAUAUAAAUCUAAUACAUUAUAAUCAAAACCUGCUAAAUUAUCCCCCAAAAAAAAAACACCGAAUUCAUCUGUGAGUGGUUUUGAAUGGACAAAAAUGCAAGACAAUGAAAAUGGGAAAUGCAGUCAAGGUUAGAAAAUAAAUGAAAGAAAGUGCAAGAACAACAAGAAAUACGAGGUAAUCAAACACUAGGCAAGAGUUUAGAGAUCAUACCCAAAACAUUUGAUCUUCACAGUAUUAUGAAAUAUCAAAAUGCCAUAACAAAUAAGGAAUGGGUUUUACAAAAGACGAACCGCUAAAAAAGUGAAUAUAUCAAGAACUAACGGAUCUGAGUAAGAAAUUGAAAGAGAGAUAGUGGUUGUGAAAGAUAGAUAAAGGAGUGUACCUUGAGUGAAAACCGAUGGUUACGGUGGCGCGUUGGCAGAAAUGAAAUCUUUCUGGCGGAAAGAACGGUUUUGUCUUACGAACAGUUUUAGGGUUCUAUGGAGACGCCAACGAUGAGUCGCAAUUCUCGGGUAAUAGAAUGGGCCGAUAUUGGGCCGGUUGGGCCUAUAUUAAAACCUUUACCCAUAGAUGAUUGCGGAAAAUGUUUUUUUAAAAAAAACUUUUUUUAUUUAAUUGACUUUUUUUUUUGCCCCUCCCCAAAUUUUGUCAUUUCAUCGAAUUAAUUUUUUAAUAUUUUUUAUAUCCACGAGUUUCUAGGUCUCGACUAAUUUCAACCAACAUCCCAUUUUGGUGUCAAGGAAACCCCUAGAAAACUUUUUAAUUUGGUUCAUAUAUUUCAAUUUUUACACUUUUAAAUACGAUGUGAUAUUAGAUACUCAUCUUUUGUCUUUAGUGGUAAUAUCUAUUGACUCAUUUAACACAACUACAAUCGAUCAUGUUCAACUUUUUUUUUAUUGCAUUUAGAAAAAAUUUAAAUUUUACUUUGUAGUUAUUUUAACUAAUUAACAAACACUAAUGUGAAUAUUAAGGAAAGAAUAUAAAUUUAAAGUGAUACAAAACUUUGACCUGGAGAGUGAAAUUGUAUCCUUUUGAAACUUGUAUACCAAAUUGAAAUCAAACUCAAAAUUUGUGAACCUCAAACACGAACUAUUAGAAAUUGAAACCUUAAACGUAGAAUGAGCUAUAAUUACAUGUAUCGUUUACUUGAAAUCGAAGACCGAAACACCUAUAAAUUCUUAAAUACAUUAUAUAUAUAUAUAAUGUUUAGGAUUAUAAUUGGCGUGGAAAAGAAAUAGAAAUGGAGUUUGUAAACAGGUGAAGUAGGUAUUGGGUAACUAUACAAUUUCAAUGCUUUGUUUUGUACAUUGGAAAAAUGUAUGGCCCAUGGACCCAUCUCCCACCAUCCCCUAUCCUUCCAUUCACUUCUUUUUCAUCUCACUUUCUUCUCUAUUUUACACUCUUUUUAACCAUAAACUUUGAAACUAAACUAUUCAACAUAAGAGAUAUAUUAUUAAUUAAAGAGAAAGUUACGUGCUCAUUGGAUUCAAUUCAUUAUUCAACAUCUGAUAAUCUUAGUAAUCUCAUGUAUUUCUUCUUUGAUUUCUUUGAUCUGACUACAUCAUCCUUACUUGUCUUAAACUACUUUCAAAACUAAAAUCUAUCUCCACAAAUCAUCACAAAAUCUUUUUCUCCUCGUUCAAAUGUUUCAAGGGACCACCCAACAAAAGACUACUCUAGGUUAAGUAUACUUAAAUUUGAACCUCAUAUGAUUGAGCUACAAAAAGAAAAAUCUAACUUGUUAGUAUGGAUAGUAAAUCUUUCUAACUAUGUUUUCGUAUCCACAUAAUCUCUCCUUUUUAGAUGUGAUCUCGAUUCAUGUAUCUUUUCUAAACUCAUAUGUUACAACCAAGUUUCUUAUUUAGUUUAGAUAACGUUGUUCAGUUUGAUGAUAGGUUUAUAUUUAGUCAUAAACUUUUAUUUAAUAUUGUUAUUUUUCACAAUUUUUUCUAAUGUCUAGUAUUAUGUGUUAGUCAGCUGUCAUACUGAAGUCAUUAAAGAACAUGAAUUUUUCCUCUAAAGAUUAUCCUGGUUCAGUAUUUCAUUUAUGUAAUUGUUGUACUAAAAACAAUCUAUAGACGAAAUAUUUUUCAGUUAAAAAUUUAAAGUUAAAAGUGAAAUAUUUUUUUCAGUUAAAAAUUUAAAGUUAAAAGUUGAUAUGAGCUUUUGAAACACAUAGCAUAAAUUUUGAAAAUAAUUUUGAGAUGUCCACUUAAAUAUAAGUUAAAUGAUUAAAAUAUACUAUCUCAAUACAUCAAUAAGUUAAAUGUUGAAAUUUAUGUACCAAAAAUAAUAUGAUUGUAUUUGAAGAAGAAAACAAAAGUAAAUUUUAGAGGUGCAAUUUUAUGAUAAGAAGAAUAUUAAUGUAGACAUAAGUAAUUUGGAGCAUCUAUUAUAUGAUAUUGUUUAACUUUUUGCAAGUAUUAUUUGGAGAAUAAUAAUCCUCAUGGAUUAAACUUUAUAGGCAUUGGUAGAAGUGACAAAUUGAAUUAUUUUAUUUUAAUUUAGAAACUUUCUAAAUUCAAUGAUUAGCUUUAAUCAAUCUCUUCUUCAAUAUCAUUUUCUUGUUUCCCCCAAUCAUAUCAUUUCCAAAUCAUUUCACCUGCUAAACUCAAUCAUCAUUAUUCUACCCGCCAUGCUUUUGUUUUUGACCCAUUUUUCAAUUUUCAUAAGAAUACAUAAUUUAGGUCGCAUCUACCAAACCAUGAUGAAAAUGAAUGUAAUCGUAAUAAAAUUCUAUUGACAAAUCAAUGAAAACGAGCUUGAAUCGUAAUCGUAAUUUGAUUGUUUUUUAUCGAUCACGUAUACUUAAAGUUAUGAAUUUUGUAAAAUGUAUUGUUAUUAUUACCGUUAUUUCUAUCUUUGAGGGUCAAGCAACAUCGAUACCGAUAACAAUAAUGAUUGUUGUAAUGGUAAUUAUAUCGGAUAGAACGUAAUUAUAAUUUAGGGAGUAAUCGAAUUAAUUAAGCACCACUCUCAACUCAUCACUUCGGAUUGAGUUAUUUCAUUAGAGAUUUGGAUGGGAAACCUAAUGUUUCAUUACAAAUUGUACAACACAAGUAAUCAAACGAGAGUCAAUAAUUUUGUAUUCUCUUGUUCAUCUAUUACGUUUCCACCAAAGUAUGAACGUGACGUAGGUUUUAAGAAAAAAUUGUUAUAUAAGAACAUAUAUCAUAAAAACAAAAUCUUUUAUACUAAUAGCUAAUACAUCAUAUUGACAAGUACAUUAAACUAGUUUUGUAAUUUCAUUAUAAAAUAUCAAUAUAGACUUUUUGAUAGCAAAUUAUAAUCUUCCUUAAAAUUGAAUCUGUUUACAUUGUCAUGAUAGUGUGGGUCUAAAUUUGCAUAGAUUUUGUUUUUGAUUUUAUCAAAAAAAGAGGACUACAUAUAAGUGAAUAUCUAAUUCUUACAUACUAUAUUUGAAUUCCAAACAAAAGAAAAAUAUGUGUGUAAGUUAAUCAGAAAACAAUGUUAUGGAAGGUUUUGUGGGACUAUUGGUAUAGAUUAUAGAUCCAUUUUGUGCCACAAAUUAACUAUAGGGUAUAUCCUAUAUGAUUUGUGUGUAUGAAGUGGGAGAUAAGAAGUCGUUGUCCUAAAAAAUUAUGUUCGUUUUAGAGCUAUCUUUUUUUUAUCCAACCCAAUUUUAUUAUAAAAAAAAGCUAUUUUUUUUAUAAAAAAAAUUUACGUGAAGUUAUUGUAAAAUUUUAGUUUCUUUUGUUAUUAUGGAUAGAAGAAUGACGGUAAAAUGAUGUUUAUAAAUGGAAAACUGUCAGAAAUGACAAAUUUGAUAAAAUAUUGCGACGAUGACAAUGAGCGAUUUCAAAUGGUAUUUUAAAAUUUUAGGUUGAUGUUUGAAUUGUGGUAAAAAGUUGGAGUGGAUUAGAAGGAAUAUAAGGGUGAGAAAAGUAGUUUUAGUGGAAGUGCUUUGGAGACAUACUACCAUGACGGUUGAUUAUUUGAAAUUGUUUGACAUUUACCUUUUGUGUUUCUAUUAUUGGGCAUUAUAUAUUCUAUCUCAAUUCCACACCAUUCAAUAAUUCCUCUAGAUAUUUUUAUUCUCCAACACUGCAUAUAACCUCUAAAAAUUCCCUUCAACCAAAAACAAAAACUAUCCUAAAUGCUUUAUUUGGUCUAGAAACGAAGUAUCGAAUAAAUCGAUUAUUGUGUUUGACAAUGACAAAUCUAUAACUUGUGUCAGAAUCUCAGUACUAAAUUGUUCCCGAUCCUUUAUCAUCACUUAUGUAGACUAGUGUUCGAGCUAGGAAUGAUUGAAAUUAAGUGAAUAUAUACUUUUACUCGGACUCGAAGAAUGAAAUUAGAGAAAGGCAUUACCAAAAACUUGGAGUGUUCUUCAAGAACUCAACUCAAGCAACCAUUUAUAAGAACAAACCUUUCGUAUCUAAAUUAAAUACAUAAAAUGGCUUCGAAUUGAUAGGGAUUAAACACUUGUAAAUCUUUCAAUGUGAGACCAAAGGAAAAGGCUAGUUUUAUGACUUCAUUGUUAUUAUAUUCAAAGUGAUUGACGAGUUAUUGUUCCAACAAACAAAAGUCUCUAAUAGUAAUUUUUUAUAUAUGUAAAAAUUAAUAUAAUUCAACUGACAUAAUUUGUGUUUCGUUAUUGACUUUGAAGUCAUAGAUUCAAUUCCACUCACACUUCCUAUUCCUAUCCUACACGUGUAGAAAAAAUAAAUAGAAGUCAUUCUCAAUGUUCAAAUUUUAAUCUAUUUUUUUUUAAUAAAACUAUCAUUUUCAUUAUUUUUGGAAUUUGACUUUAAAUACAAAAUAUACCCAUGAAAGAUGAAAACCAAAGUCAUAAGAGUUGUGUGAAGACAAAUUAAAAAACAAAAAUCUAUAAACACGUAUGAAAACUAAUCAAACAAAAAAAAACCACAUAGAAUAUAAAUAUACGAGACUAAUUAAUAGUAAGAGUAGAUUGCAUGAACUACUCAUAGAGUAUGGUCGUAACUAUACAUAUUAUACUCUCAAACUUAUGCAUUUUCUUUUGUCAAAGUGAGUUUAGCUCAGCAAUAAUUGACACGAUCUUUCAUUCUAGAGAUUGAAGGUUCGAUUUUUCAUGCUUAGUUAUUGUACUAAAAAAACUUAUACACAACUUUUAAACUUUGAUUCUCAAAUAUAUGAAAUUGUAACAAUGACAUACAUUCGAGAACUCAAUAAUUUUUGUUAUUUAGAGAUCCAAUUCAUGAUUAUAAAAUGAAAGAGUUAAAUUGUAAUAUAAUAGUUUGUAUAAGUGUUGAUGGUGUGAUUACAACAACCCACAUUUGAUAUGGGCAAUUCUUGUCAAUUCUUGCCAUUUGCUCCAAUAAUAAUAAGAAGAAGAAUAACAAUAAUAACAACAUAUGCAACCAAUUGGAUAUCAAGCUUGAAAGGUACAAAAUGGAAGGAGGCAAAGGCAUUGAUUGGCAGGCAAAGCAAACACACACAUGAACACAAAACACAAGUCUUUUUUUCUUUCUUUUUCUCAAUAAAUAAUUAUAAAAAGAAAAACCCUAUUGAAAGAUAAGGCCAUCAUCACCCUUUCUUUCUCAAAAAUUUAUUAAUGAUGAAAAAUAAAUACAAGUGCUUUUUUGGGGGGGCAGAAAUAUGACAUCAUAAAUGUGAGUGAACAGUGAGUUCCAAUGAUAUGAAAAAGAAAAAGAAAGUAAGUGUGUACUGUUUAGCCAUCCCCAUGCAAUUGCUUUCAUCUCAUCUGCUCAUCCCAAAAACUCACUGUUCAUUCAACUCUAUCUCUUUUUAACUUAUUUUAAUUACAAACACAUAAAUAUAUAAGCAAAUAUAUUAAUACCCUUUCCCCCUAUAUUGUCCCUAAACUAGUCCCCUGCCCCUAUCAUUUUGGCCUACCCCACUUCUUCUCCCCAUCACUUUCACUUCCCUAUUUGCUUCCAUAACUACUACCUAGGGUUUAACUUUGUACGUAUAUACAUGUGCUUUUCUUAUACUGUAUGAUAAUUUGUAUCAACUGUGAAUUUUUACACCAUGUGUUUACUGCAUAAUGGAUGUAAUUAAAACUUCUGUGGUUGUGUUGAUAAUUUGGGUCAGUGUAGCUUUAAAAUGUAUAUAUUAUGACCUCUUUCCAAUUAUAGUUUUUGUUAUUAACUUCAUCCAUUAUUUUAACGUGACGUGAUUACUUAGUUAUUUAACGAAAACAUGGCAAGUUGAUUUCAACUUAUUUAAACACUUGAUACUGAAAAUUCAAAUGGUAGGGACAACCACAUCCAUGAAAAAAAUCAUAAAAGUUUAAAAGAAGUACGCGAUGUAACUCACCGACGAAUUUAGUAUAGAUCCACCGUUAACGUAACUUUGAAUGUUAAAAUAAAAUUGUAAAAAAUAACUUUUUGACAAUAGGGGUUGUGGAGUGACGAAUCGAACCUCAAACCUCAAAUUUCAUCACACAAAUUCAUGUAAAUUAAGCACAAACCCUAAGUUUAGGGGGAGGAAUCCUAGUUUGUCACAUAAAUUAUUGGGGGUAUACAUAUAUAUGUGGUGUGGGGUAUGUGUGAGAGGGGGUGAAUAAUGUGAAUAUAUAUAUGUGUAUAUAUUAAUGAAGAGAGGAGUUAAGGGCAGGGUGUCCUAAAAUGAGAAGAGGAAGGGGCACAUAAUGAUGGCAUUUGAAGACAGAAGUCAGGGUCAGGGGAGAAGGCAUGGAGAAGAGGACCCUUGAGAUAAAAAGAAAAGAAAAAGGUUAUACUAUAUACACACAUAUAUAUAAUGUUGUGUGUCAAUAAUAAUGAUAAUAAUGUAAAUUACUGUAUGGUAUUGUGGCAGAGGGAAGAAGGGGGUUAUUUUGUUGUUAUUUCAAAGAGAGGUUAUGUAUAAUAAAACCAAAAGUAAAAUUGGAAAAAAACAAUCACUAAUUCCAUUUUGUUGUGGGUUCCAAGAUUGGGAGACAAAACUCUUUUUUGUGUUCAACCCCUAAUUUCUUUAUAAAAAAUAAAUGUUUCUGUAGAAAUUCUGAAAAGGCUUUGGAAGAGAUGAGAUGUGAAAAAUAAUAUAUAUAUUACAUAUAGUUUAUAUAUAUUAGAAUUCAGAGGGAGGAGAAAAGAGAGAGAGACUCAUUUCCCAAUUACCAUGCACACUCGUGUUGUCUUGAAUGCAUUAAAUUAUUGCCCUUUCAAUUUAAUUCUACCCACAUUAAUUUCUUUGUCUCGAAAAUUCUAAAAAAUAUUAGGUUAAAGUACAAGUUUAGUUGGUUUGAUAAUAUUUCGUUGAAAUUUUUAUUUUUAUUUUAUGUUUGAUAUUCUUUUAUAGUUCAAAUAUGAUUAGAUAAAUAAUCUUGAAAUUAUUAAACUUAUUUUAGUAAUUUACUCAAAACCUAAUCUUUCCUAAUUCUCUUAUUUUAUAUAUUACCAAUAAUCAUGAGUUCAUAACAUUUUAAAGCUCUUAACCUAGGCUAGCUAAGAUAAUUAUACUAAUUACGUUGGUUAAUUAAUUGUGUACUUACUUUAAUAGGUUAGUACACUCACAGGGAAAAGAAAAGCAUGUUAACAAUUUUAAUUCUUCCCUAUAACAACAAUCACAUUUUUAAAUACAUUUCCAUGUUUAAAGAAUAUUGAUAAUACUUCUAGAAGUCUCGCAUAUUUAUUAAGUGUCGUUUUCUUAAUUUACUAAAAAAGUUCGAAAUAUAUUAAUUAAGGUAAAUUUAAUUAUAUAUCAUGAUAAUUUUACAUAUAAUUUUGAUCUUAAAUACAAUAUAUGAGUGUAUUAAAGAGGUAUUUCAAUAUAUCUUCUUCUAAUUUAUUUUAUCACGUAAUUAUUGUUUAAGUUUUCGAACUAGAUAGUAAAUGAUAUCUAUACCAACCAAGCUAUGUUGGGAUUGUAAUAUAAAAUAUUAAAUAUAACACCAACCCACUUGGCUAUACAUAUACAUGAAAACAUUGAACUUUCUAUUAUGAUUUUAACUUCUUUUUUUGUUUUGAUGAGUUGGGUUUAGGUUGGUUUAAUAUAAACUAUCUGAUUGGAUUUGGUUUGCCUUUAUACAACCAGAACAUUAUUAAUGGGAUUUGGGAAAGACAUUAAUUAAUGGUAGAAGCUCUAUACUUUAUUUUAUAUAUAUAUUCAAAAUUGAUUUUUGUCGUUUAUCAAUUAAAUUAGGAAGUAAAUUAUAUGUUAAUAAUUAUAGUGUAAUUAAUCAGUAUCUAUCACUCACUCUCAGAAAAUAGCUGUCAUAUAUAUGUGUGUAUGUGUAUGUGUAUUUAUUUUUGGAGAAAUUCAUUUUAGCAUUGCUGCAAGCAAAAGGUACCCUUGUUCUACGCUUCUGCCACACCCCAACUUUUUCAAACCCUUUUUCUUCACUUCCCUUUACUUUAGCCGACAUCUUAUUUUACUCCCAAAAUUACCCUCUUCUCUCGACUCGAACGUAGUUCAAUCGAUUUAAAAUAACAAUAAAUUUAUUUUAUAUAAAUAGUCAUUGUUUCUUAUGUGUCGUUGAUCAUGAAUUGUAACUUUCUACAAAGUUGAACGUUUAAAUCUUUCAACUACUUCUAGAUUUAUUUCACCGACGUUUAAGUUCUCAUAAAGUAGUUUGUCGUAGAGUCUUUGAUGUCAUUCAAUUUAUAUUUUUCUUAUUUAUAUAUGUAUAUUAAACUUGAUUUACUUUAUAUAAUUAAAGUAAAUAGUCAACCCAUAUAUAUAUUUAUAUAUCAUUUUUUUUAUAUAAUGUUCAAAGUUAAAUUGAUAUUAUUUAUUUUAUAAAAGAAUGUCAUCAGUUAGUUAGAAAAAUAAUAUAAAUUAUUUUAUAACUAAAUUAUAUGCUUUAAACAAAAGUGUAAAUAAUUUAGCAUCAUAAAUCUAAUACUUUUUAAAGAUUUUUUUUAGGUCUCUAUUUUUACAGUUGUCGUCAUACCCCGUCCAAAGCUCCUUCUCUAACCCCUAAUCUAACCCUAAAAGAGGGUACGAGAGUUAACAAACAUUGUCAUACUUGACUGUUUGACUCAUUUAAACGUCUAGUCAAGCUUUCCUCACCUAAGGUGUAUUGUUUUUGGCUCCUAACCUGAUGUCCUUAGUCAAAAUUCUUUCCGCAAGGUCACUUUGACUACAAUGACACACUAACCAUGACACUUAACAAACUUUUAAUGAGAAUUUGCUUGGGAGUUCUUAGGUCUAGAGUAGUUGUGUUGGUCAUAAAUAAUAGUAUAGUUUCAACAUAAAAAUAAUAACAACUUAACCUUAGUGUGUAUAUAUAUAUAUAUGCCACACAAAGCACAUUUUCCUUUUCCUUCCUAAUAUUAACUUGUGUUUGUAAUAAUUUUGUAUCAGUUGAAAGCUACUGUAGGUUGUCAUGUAAUUGAAAAUUUCAACUAUAUAUUUCAAUGUAAUGAAACCAACAAAAAAAAAAAAAAAAAGAGUAAAAGUGAGUGACCAUUUAGAAUAAAAUUGAAUGUGAAAUUAAUGAGUAUGGGAGUUUGGAGAGAGUGGUAGUUAUGAGAUCUUAGUCAAUGUUAGAUUUUGUUCUUAAUUAUCAUAUUUAUUAUAUAUCUCUUUCUUUUUUCAUUGUUUAUUAAAUUUUGUUAAUAUAUAUAGUUUUGUUUUGUUUUGUUUUUAUGCUUGAUAUUGAUUAUAUAUAAUCCUUAAUCAUAAAUAAUUAACAAUUAUUCUCAAUGGUUUUCUCCCUCUCCCUCUCCCUCUGAGCUGUAUAGGCUUAAAUUUUUGUGUUUAAGGUUAAUGCUUUAAAUUGAUGCUUUGAGAGAUUCCCAAACCCUAAACCCUUGGUUUUCUUCUUAUUCUUCUCUUUUUGUAUUUUAUUUGUUUGCUCACAAAAAGCCACACCCAUUUUAUAUCUUUUAGUGGGAAAUAAUUGAACUCAAACAAGUUUUCACAUAUCUAAUAAUAUACCUAUAUUUUAGGUACAGUGUGGUGUAUUGUCAUACCUAAGAAGUAUACUUAAUAAUUAAGAUGUGUAUUAUCGAUCAAUAAAACACAUAAAUUUAAGUUAUGUAAAUAUUUGUAUUGCUAAAAACAUUCUUUUAAGAUAGAGAAGUUCAAAAACUAGAUUCACACAUUUGUCAUACAAAACAUGGACCGAUGAUUAAGGUAUUUCUAUUCUUCUUCUUCUUUUUUUUUUUUUCAAAGUUUGAUUAUGUACACAAAUUGGAAAAGGGGCAACAUUCUUUGUUCCAUUAAACUCUACUACCUUUCUUCGGCUUUAAGUGGAAUUUUAAUUUUAGUAAUGUGUGAUAGGUUUAAAUAUGUUGUAAAUAUAAUAAAAUAAAUUUAUCGUUUAAAAUAAUUUCUUUGUGUUUUUAUUGAUUUUCUAUUAGGAGGGUUAAUUUGAUAUCUUACAUUUCAGACUUUCUUCACCACUAAUAACUUGAUCUAGUGGUUAACAUUAAAAUAGAGAGCAGUGACGAUAAAGUUUAGAAAACCAACCCAAGAAAUUCCCAAAAAAAAAAAAAGAAAAAGGGAAAAUUAAGGAAAUCCAAAGGCAUUGGAAUAAUUGAAAAGAAAGGUGAUGGGCUACAAGAGGUAUAAAAAUAUUAUAGGAUCAUGAAAAGACUUAACAUAAAACCUGAAAGAACUUGUCAAUGUCACUUCGUUACUUCAAAAAAGUUCUUCCCUAUAACAAAAUUUCCCUUUUUUCUUUGAAAAAAAUAUGUAUAAUGCAUGAAAAUCAAUAAUAAAAAAGAGAAGAAGAUUUAGGAAAUUUGAUUGAUUGACAAUUCAAAAAACCCCCUCUCCUUUUUUUGUUGGUCUCAGAAAUCUUUGCAUGUAUAAAGCUAAAACCAGGAGACCAAACAAUGGCCAAUUUAAAAAAUUCAGAAUUUAAAAUAAUGAUCGAUGUGGGAAACAUUAAACACGAUAAUCAAAGCAAAUGCUGGGAUUUGGAUUUGGAUUUGGCUGAUGAGAUAUAUCAGAGAAAUUGAAUAAUCUCUUUUAUGUUUUCUUUUCUCUAAAUUAAACAGAAUGUUCUCUCUCUCUCUCUUGAUUAAUUAAAUUAAUUAAUUUGUUUGUUUAAUUGUUUCUUUUUUAUAAAAAAAUUGGUAUCUCUCUCUAUCUCUCUCUCUCUUUCCCAAUCUCUCAGGGGACAACCAGCAUGUACUCUCUGACUUUGUCUUUUGGCUUUUUUCUUCCAUCUUUAUUUUAGGUUAUUAUCAUUUUCCCCCCUACUUAUUACUACCCAUAUAUUCAUAUAUAGGUUAAUUUCAGUGUUUUAAUAUGUCCAGGUCUUGUUUAUAUUCAUUUCUGAUCCCAUCUUUGAUGUCAAUGAACAUAUAUUAUGAACUAAAAAUAAUGACACGAAAAGAAAUUACAACUUAAUGAAAAUUUUAACCUUGAUGAUAAUAAUAUAUAAUACCUUUUUUUCUUCCUUUUUCUUUUUGGCAGGGGGUAAAAAUUUCCACUUUUUCUCAGUCUCAGCUCUCAGCUUUCUGCUUUCUUUCCAUUGCUUCAAAUGCUAAAUAGUUUUUGGAAACUGAGGUUUGGUUUCUUUGGGGUUUUGUUGGUACUAUUUUUGUGUGUGUUUCUUUGCUUUUGGUAACUUUACACUGUGUAUAUAUUUGAACUUUUUAUUCAAUUUAAUCUGUUGAGUUUCAUUUGUUAACUGUUAGUUUUUUAAAAUUAUGUUGUGAUUUUUUUUAUUAGUCUUUUUUUAAAAAUGAGUUGAUGAAUCAAUCCUGAGUGUAAUUCGUAAAUAAGAUUUUGUAAAACUAUUUUUCAUAAUUACUUAACUCUUAAAUUUAUGUUUAAAUUUAAAAAUUAGAAAACAAAUGAUCAUGAUACGAAGUUCUUAUCUUUUUCUUUUUCUAACUUUCACAGAAUGUAACUUUUUUAGUUUUAAUGUAAAAAGAAAAAAGGUUGUUCUAAUCUUUAUUAUAUUAACCCUUGUUUAUGGAAGCGUUAAAGAAAUUCAAUCAAUCUCACAUCUAGAUUUUGUAAAAUAAAAUUAUGCAAACAAAACAACCUCUAAUUAAUUAAAGGAACACUUUACUAGACACAAAUGUAAAAAAUUGAACCAUACACAUGAAAUUGAAACAAGAAUAUAAUUUUGAAAAGAAAAUAAAUAGUAUUCUCUAACCUCUAAAUUUCAUUUUAUUUAACAUGAAACAAAGUUAAGUAAAUUAAAUGAUUAUUGAUUGAUAACUUAUUACAAUAGGUUUAUCAACAUGAGCUCAACCCGAUUGACAGGAAGAUGAAAUUGUUGUGUUUAAAAGAGACACAACUCAAAGCUUAAACAACCCCAUACCAAAACUUAAUUGUGCAUCAAAACAUCACAUCUCUAUCUCUAUCUUUCUCUCCUCAUUCUUUCUCUUUCUCUCACUUCUUAUCAAUAUAUUACACUGUACUCCCCAAAGUACACAAAAGCCUAACACUCAAAAAGCAUAAAGAAAAAUAAAACCUUUCAACCCUUUUUUCCAUUUUGCAAUUCCCUUAAUCCAAACCAUGACGGACCCAAAUUACUCCUCCAAUUCCUUCAAUUUCAUCCAUCUUCCUCCUUCCAAUUUCCUCCUUUCCCAAUGCCGUCGCCCUACUCCUCCUCCGCCACCGUCAUCUCCGCCGCAAGCCCUCCCUCUCCUCAACACCCUCUCGCCGGAAACCGCCGAUCAUCCCUCCUCCUCCACCACCACUCGUAGUUACGAUGACGAAUCUGCCGUUCUUGCUCUUGACAUCAGCCUCUCUUGCCCUAGCUCCGAUCUAGACUCCUUCUCGCCAGACCCCGGCACCGGGAAAAUAAUCGACGGCGACGUUUCCGACCACCCUUUGCCGAUCUCCGGUAAGGGUCAGUACUGGAUUCCGACCCCAUCGCAGAUCCUCAUCGGUCCUACUCAGUUCUCUUGCCCUCUUUGCUCUAAAGCCUUCAAUAGAUACAAUAAUCUUCAGGUAAAAGUUUUCAAUUCUUUUUUUGGUUUUAGUUUUAUUUAUUAUUUUUUUUCUUGGGGUUUUGAUUUAACGGUUCAAGAAAUGUUCUUUGUGUCUUCCUUUUUGUGUACUUCUUUUGCAAGAUUGAGUUAUUGCAUUGAGACUAUGAGUGAGUGUUUUUCUUUUUCUUUUCUUUUCUUUUGUGGGUUUUUGCUUUUUUGAUCAGUCUGAGAAAUUGAAGUGAUCUGCUGCAAAACAACUGUUUGACAUUUAUGAUUAUUUUUUUUGAGAACGGUGAAAUAGUGAAGUAAUUAUGGGGAGAAGGGGUUUUUUUUCUUUUUGGUGUUUAAAAAUAUUUCAAAAACUUCUCUAAAUGGUAGAAUUGAUUAAUAUUUUCUUUUCAUUCUUUUGGGAUUUAAAGGAUUUGAAUUGAGUUUUGUUAUAAAUAAUAUAUUAGAAUUGUGUUUUUUUGGUUGAUUUCAGCUCUCUUUGAUACGACUUCGUUGAAAUGUAUUCUUCCUUUCCCAUAAUUUUUUAGUGUUAAAAAUUUGAUAACUCAAAAAGUCCAAUCAACCCAACCUUUGGAUUUUCUAUUACCUAAAUAACUUUCUGAUGUUCAUGAGUUUGAUUGGUUUAUAACUUUAAUUUGCCUAAAAUUACUCAAAUUAACCCUAAAACUUAUUAUUAGUUUUCAAAUGUGUAUAUAUAUAUAUUUUUACUUAUUAGAAUAAUAUUAUAUAUUCAUAUAUUUAUUUGAAUGUUGUACUUUUUGUUUGAUGACUUAUUCCCAGCAACUCCUAAAAAUAUUGUUUUUAGCAAUUUAGAAAUAAAAAUUUCAUAAGAUAAAAAGAGAAAAUAGAUUCCAAGAGUUAUUUCAAAUCUUAGUCAACACCUUUAAAAACAAAUAAACAAAAAAGUUUCUUUCUUUUUUCUGGGUUGGGAAAUCUAGGUGAGAUUUUCAAAGGAACUGUUAGUAAAACAAUAUUUGCUUCUUAAAAACUAAAAUGGGAUUAAUUUCUGAAAGCAGAAAGAUAUAUAUAUAUAUAUACAUAUUCACGUUUUCUUUACUAAAAAUGUUCCUCGUUUUUCAUAUCACAGCAUAGGAAAAAUUGCUUUUUCUACUGUUAUUAUUUCAUUCUCCUCUCAUAAUUUUCAUACAUUAUAUCAGAACAAUAGUUAAAAAAUGUAAUAAUAAACAUUCUUCCAUUUUAUUUGGAAGUGUUCUCUUUAGAAAAUAACAGUGAAGGACAAAACAAUAACAUGUUUUAUUAUGAUAUAUACUUUUAAUAAUGUUAUGGAAUGACUAUUUUAUAUGAUUACAUUUUAAGAUAUCUAAUUAAUGAAGAGUCGGGACUGUAUAUAUAAUGAAAAUGAAUUGACAAAAUUAGUUAUAGGGAUAUGUAGAGACGAAAAUGAAAACAAAACCCACCAGUUCAGGAAGUGGCGACGUUUUUCUUUUCUUCUUUUAGAAUAUUAUCUUUUCGGUUCAAAAGUUCUUACGAAGCAUAUGUGCAUUUAGUCUUAAUUUUUUUAGAAUAGAUGUAUUUGUCUCUGAGAUUCAAUAUGUAUAUACUUUUAGUUGUUGAACUUUUUUUUUUUAAUAGAUUUCUUAGACCCUUGAAGUGUUUUUUUUCUAAAAAUAAAAUAACAAAAUAUGCUGUUAAAAGUUAAUAUAUAAGUUAAUUUUAGAGUUAAAGAGAUAGUUCUUUUAGAAAGUAUUUUUUCCAAUUUAAACCAAUAAAACACCUAUCUUAAAAUCGUAGUGGCUAAAAGACGACGUUUUGAGAUGUUCAAACAUGGCGAGAAUGUUGAGAACAAGUUAAUGUAGUUGAUGGAUAUUAAGAUAUACCUAUCUAACCCUCUCAUUCUAAGAAAAACGACAUUUUGUUAUCAUAGUAAUACCGAACACAAGUCCAUAUUUUUCAAAAUUCGAGAACUUUGUUUCAUGAGUUGAUGCUUUUAAGUUAACUAAAUAUGAUUGUUUGACAUGCAGAUGCAUAUGUGGGGACACGGUUCACAAUACAGAAAAGGACCAGAAUCACUCAAAGGCACACAACCAACCGCAAUGCUAAGGCUACCAUGCUACUGUUGCGCAGUUGGUUGCAAACACAACAUAGACAACCCUCGUUCACGCCCACUCAAAGAUUUCCGAACCCUCCAGACACAUUACAAGCGCAAGCACGGCAUCAAGCCUUUCACUUGUAGAAAAUGCACCAAAGCCUUUGCUGUUAAGGGCGAUUGGCGAACCCACGAGAAGAAUUGUGGCAAGAUUUGGUAUUGCUUUUGUGGCUCUGAUUUUAAACAUAAACGCUCCCUUAAAGACCACAUCAAAGCCUUUGGUCGCGGCCAUGGUGCCCUUGGCCUUGAUUACUUUGACGAUGAUAAUGAACCCUCUCCUGAACUCGAUGAAGAUCAUCUCUUUGUUCGCCUUCGUUAAUCACGUCUUCUCUCUCUUUUUGUUGUGUGGUUAAAUAAUAUAUAUGAUGUUUGUUGUUGUAAUUUGUGUUGUGUAUAUGAGGAGGAAGUUGAGAUGGGGGACUGUGAUACAAAGGUGCAAAUUGAAAUAUUGAUUUAGUUGUAAAAUUUUUGAUAUGAUGUCGAUUUUUAUGGCAAUUUAUAAUAUAUGAAUGAACGGAUUAUGACCCUUGAUGUUUGAUCAUAAAUAUGGAAACUCGGUUUCCAUGUAGAUAUUUAAUAUUUUUUUUAUAAGAAAAACGUAGAGUUGUGUGAUUUUGUGUGUUAAUAAAAAUUGUUUAUUAUAGCUCGUUAUCUUUGUGUAUACUACAUCCAAUCAUUUAAUUAUAGUUUGUCACACGAUAAACUUUUAUUGUUUUUUUUGUGUGUUUAUGUAGGAUUAGAGUCGUUGGAAUUAAAUACUCUACCACCUUUAAACAUUGUUCUUUAUUUAUUGUUCGAAUAAACUCGUUGUACUUCCUUUCAAAAGUGUGAAUUCAUAGUAAUAUUGACCUAUAAUAAAUUUAGAUUGGUCCAACCAUUCACUUGUGACCGAUUCAUGAUGUAUUUACUUUUGUGACUUUUUCCUAACCUUUGUCUAUUUCACAAUGUUCAAACUAACUUAUUGCAUGAAAUACCACACAAAGGUCAAUUAGAAAAACAAAAUUAGAAUAAACCAAUUGUGGUUAAGCACCUAUUCAUGUAUGUAGUUAAGGUGGUGUUUGAGGCAAUAAGUAUUUAAGACGUAGUAAUCAUCAUUUACUACAAUAAAUACUAUUUAAAAAUUUUCAAUUACUUACGUUUAACACUAUUUUGAAAUUAAUUUUUUUUAUAUCUUUUGCUAUUUGGUGCAUUUUUUUACUAUUUUAAUUCUAUCAAUUUUUAUUAUUUGGUACAUAAUUUAUUUUUUUCUCAAACUAAAGCAGUUUAUACCUUCGACGCAUAUUAUUAUUAACCAAACUAAAAUAGUUUAUACCUUCAACGCAUAUUAUUAUUAACCAAACUAAAAUAAUAUACGUGAUCGAGUAGUAAGAUAUAAGCCCUAGGGGCAAUAUUGGGAUAUUCUAAAAACAAUAGGGUUAUUAUAGUAAAUUUGUUCCUCGUUCCAGAAUGGGCCGAGGAAAGUUCGUGGGCUUUAUUUAGCCUCUCGUUAUCGGCUCUACUCGAUCUCUAACUCAUCCCUAACCUUGGAAUCUCAUUGUUCUCUGUGAAACGAAAUUGAAUGAGUGCUUCCAUGGCGUUAGCGCCAAGCUUAAAUCACAGCCCCAGGUUUCCACCAUGGAACGGAUCAAAGAUCGUGGCCUGCUCAAACUCAAUCAACCCUCCGAUAAAUUCCACCAGUUUCCAAUCAUCCUCCGUCGCGAAACGCUGCUUACGGUGCCAUACCGUUUACUCGGAUGUCGAUAAUUCUCCUUCCGCUUGCGUCUUCCAUGGCCACAUCACUGGUUCGUAACGUACACUCGAAAUUUUAAAAUUAGGUCUUAGAUGUUUUUCCGAAGAGUGGGGAUUCGUCUUCACAGUUUUUAUAUUCUUUUGAGAAAAGCUUAUAUUGAGGUUGAAAUAGUACGUGAAUCUGGUUUUAUUAAUAGGGGAGAGGGGGUUGUUUGCUUUGUCGCCCCCGCACCAGGGGAUUGACGGUGAAUGGAGUGACGGCUCCGGUGUGAUCGUUUAUAAAUGGAAUGAUAAAUCAAAUCGUCCUAACUCCGGAACUGGCAACUGGAAGAGACGGUGGAGUUGUUGCUCCGAGUACGAUGAACGUGCACCUCCUUGCCGUCGGGGAUGGCACGUUUCUUACGACGAUGGGUUCACUUUGUAUUAAUAGAAUAGAGUGUCGUCUCUGCCAAUAAUUAAUGGCAUUUGUAUAAACCGUAAGAUUGAUGGCAUUCGUAAAUUGCUUGAAUGUUAUAAGAAGUGUAUUGUAAAGUGUAAAUUGCUGGGAUGUUAUGAAAAUUAUAUUACAAACAGAUUUCAAAUACACGCUCCAAACAUUGAAUCUCAAUCAUGUUACAUUACAAAAAUAAUCUCAAUACAGGCAUCAAACCUAAAUUAGGCAUGUAAGGUUGAUCAACCUUGCAUGAAGUAAAGAUGUGAACAUCUAAGCUAAUGUUGUGAAGUUUUAAUCAAAUUUGAGUAACGUUCAAAUUCGCAACUAACAAAUUAAACAUUAGCAUAUAUUUAAUUAAAACUUGCUAAAUUUACACAAGUCAUCUUCCAAAAACAUUAGAUUGUAUGAACAAAAUUCUCAUAAAACAGAGACGAGAGAGAUGAGUGUGAAUGGUGAAAAAAAGCAUCCGAUUCUCAUCAUUCAAGAAUAAGCAUAUAUAUAUAUGUGUGUGCAUAACAACAAAUUCAUACACUCUCCGAUCAAAUCUCCGGUGACGCCACAAAAGCUGCCUAAUACGAUCCCACCGUCUUGAACGAAUCAUGAACAUGCCGGAGCAUAUCCUGGUCCCGAUUCCACUCCGGCGUCGGCGCAUUCACAAAAUGAGCAUACAGCUUGUUCUUUGCACAAGUCACCGAGAUCAAACUAUGAGUUCCGGCGCCGUCGAUCUCGUACACAUAAUAAACCUGUCCAUUCUCAUCCUUCUUCUCUUCCGCCAAGAAGCUCUCGGCGCUCGCGAUUUGAUCCUGCAAAUUCACGUCCGAUAGAGCCAGGUUAUUCAGAAUCACAUCCUUCGGCCCUAAUUGCCGGAUUCCAGCCAGGAAAGUUAGGUAUUCUUUCUCUGAUCGUUUCUUCGGAUUGUAAAAUUCACUAUCGGUUCCGUUGGUACCUGCGGAAAUUAGUAGGUAGAAUUAAUUUUCGGAACGAAUUGAGCUAUUAGAUAUCUUUAAUUUAGGGAUUUUGGAGUACCUUUUUCGACUUUGGAUACUAAUCGCUCUUUCCAUCCUUCCGGCACGUCGUAGAUGUAUUCUGCUGUGUCUUUCUUGUUGGCGUUGCCACCAAGGCCACCGUAGUUGGCGGCGCUGGCGGCAGUGCCAUAGUAGACAUUGAAAGCGGCCCCGGUAUCGGCGAGGGAGGGUGUAGCGGUGCUAAGGAUCGCGGCUACGGCGAUGGCAGUGGCUGCGAUGGAGAUUGGGGCAGUUGAUGAAAGUGGAGGUUUGGAUUGGAGAAUGGGAAUUUGGGGCUUUGGUAACGAUGAAGCUUGCGGUGGUUUUGGGGCGGUUGUGCCGGUGGAGGUUAAGAACGCCAAUGGCGCGAUUGCUGUGGCCAUAGUGAUUGAUUUUCGUGGAUUUGGGCUUCUGGUGUAUCUCCUCGAACAGGAUUUUCUCCUUAUCCAUUCUUUUUCUAUUUUCCUUUAUUUUUCUAAAUCGUUUUUUUUAUUUUUUGAAUUUAUGUACUUUUUUUUCUAUUUUUGUAGAAUCCCAUUUAACUUUAUAACUAACCCCUAAUUUAUGUCUUUACUCUCUUCUAUGGCUUGCUCACGUUGAUGAUAUCACAUCACGACGAAUUAAGUUUUUCUUUUUCUUCAUGGUUAUUAAAUUUUGUUUUUACAUUCACCAAAUUGAAUUUAAAAUCCAUUUAAUAUAACAUUAAUUAACUAUUUGUUAAAUUUAGAUAAAUACAAGCAAAAGUCAAAAGCUUGAUGAAACAACUAAUUAAUAUACGAGCAUAUGUGGAUUGAGUAGUAGGUGUGGAUGAGAGAUUGUUAAAAGAGAAUUGUGAGGAAGUAGUAUAGUGGCGGAAGCUAACCACCUACUUUUCUUCCAUCUGCGAGCCCAUUAUCCAUGAUCCCGCAACUACUCUACACUUUGGGUAUUAUCCCACGAUCAUAACCUACUCAUGAGUAAUUAUCUACGUUUCGAGCAUAACUCAACUCUCACACUAACAAAGGUAAUCCCCAUUACGUGUCAAGGAGUUAAUGUCUCCAAUAAAAAAUAAAAGAAAAAUAAUUAAAUGUAGCUUGGACAUCACAUACAUCUCACAUAUUAUCUAAUUUACGUAUUAUCUGGAGUUGGAGAGUAGAAAGGUGAUCCUAAUUUAGAGAGAUUGUUUUUUAAAAAGAAAAAUAGAGUAGAGAAGUGGAGGUUGAAAACUCCGCCAUGUAUAUUUACGUAUUAACUCUUCUAACAAAAAAGAAAUGUAACGGUCACUAUUCUUACCUAAACGGACAAAGAAACCCAACCAAUUAGAUAUUUUAAAGCCAUCAAAUAAAAAAUAAGCUUAUUACAAAAAUGCCCUCGAAUUCACCAUGCAAUCUCCCUUUUCCGGGCAGGGGUAUUUCGGGAAUUAUCCCUAAAAUGAAUGGCCAAUGGUUAUAUUGCAUACUGACCGCCAAAAAAGCCCUAGGUACAGCCGUACAGGCGCGAGCCAUAGCUUUUUCUUUUUCCCUUCUCCGAUUGAAUUAUGCACUCCCUUCAUUUCCUUCAUUUCUCUUCCUCUUUUCAUUUCCCUCCACUACCUAUAUCUUUUUCAAAUCUUCUCUCACUUCUUUAAUCAAUCAAAAUUUUUCAUUUCUUUUUCUUUCCUUUUUAUUUCAUUUCAAUCCGUUUCUCUUCUUUCGAUCGCCAUGUCUAAAAGGUCAGUUUCUCGCUUUGACUAUGCUUCUUUAUACGUUCUUGUUGAUAUUGUCUCUUGUUUUUCAUGAGUUUUGAUGAUUGGAUUAUGGGUUCCGAUAAUCGCUUCUUGAUAUUGUUUUUUUCAUCAUGGUUCUUUGGUAUCUUGGUUUUGUUUAUUAGGUUUUGGGCUAUUUCGACGGGAUGGGUUCUUUAACGUUUGGAAUUUACGUUUCAUGAAAAGUCCUUUUGUGGGGUUGUUAUUGAUGCGUUUAUUUGAACUUUGACUUGUUGUUCGUACGGGUGUUAAUUUACUUUGCUGGUUUGUUUAGGGUCUUAUGCAAGUAUUUUGCGCAUGGAGCUUGUUUAAAAGGGGAAUAUUGUGAGUUUUCUCAUGACUGGACGGCUCCACCAAGCAAUGUAAAUAUUACUUUCUCUCCUCUGUGUUGCCAUAUACUAUAAUGGUGUUCAGACUAUUGUUUCUUUCUGAUGCAUCGUCCAUAACAGGUUUGUACUUAUUAUCAAAAGGGAAGGUGUGCUUUUGGCAGUCGAUGCAGAUAUGAUCAUGUUAAAGUUUCUCACGCCGAAUCAUGUUCGAAUGUUCAGCAAUCUCAUGGGUCUGAAUCUGUUUCUGUAGCUCAUUCUCAAUUGUCAAGGCCACUUUCUCCCUUUUCUGGAUCUACAAGCGAGCUUGCUAGUUCAGAGAUACCCAGUCUUCCCUUGCGCGAAGAAGCUGCUUGGAGUGGAGAGUUUGUGCGUCCAGACGGUCUUGAUGAUUGGGUGAAUGGGGAGGCAAGGGUUGUUGGUCCAGCUGAUAUACCUAUUUGUUCUUUUGCUGCGGCUGGUGGUGACUGUCCGCGUGGUGAAAAUUGUCCUCAUAUUCAUGGGGACUUAUGUCCUACAUGUGGAAAACAGUGUUUACAUCCUUUUAGGACGGAUGAAAGGGAGGAGCACUUGAAGGCAUGUGAGAAAAAGCAAAAACAUCUAGAGUCUUUGAAACAUAGUCAAGACAUAGAGUGCAGUGUUUGCCUGGAGCGUGUGCUUUCUAAAACCGAAACAGCAGAGAGGAAGUUUGGGAUUCUAUCAGAAUGUGAUCAUCCAUUUUGCAUUUCUUGUAUUAGAAACUGGCGCAAUAGUUCAUCUACCUCUGGAAUGGAUAUUAAUAGUGCCUUAAGAGCCUGCCCAAUUUGUAGAAAGUUGUCAUACUUUGUCAUUCCAAGUGUCAUUUGGUAUUCUUCAAAGGAAGAAAAGCAAGAGAUUGUUGAUAGCUACAAGUCAAGGCUGCGGUAAAUUUAUGUUCUUUUAUUUCUAAUUUGUGAAUGCAUUAUGGAAACUGUUCAAUUGCUUUCCAUUAUGUUCACGUUUUCUGCUUCCCUUUUGUUAUGUUUUGUUUUGUGUGCGUGUGUGUGUUUAUAUAUAUAUAGAUUUAUUUAUUUAUUUAUCAAACUCAAUUUAGUAAAUUGAAGUUAUUACAUAUCAAAUGUAAUUGUACGAACUAUUAUUUAGAGAAUGGAAACUGCAUAACUACUAAAGUAAACUGCAUAACUGCUAUUAUUUGAGAUGAUUUCGCUACUCUAAUCUGUGAGUUUUUAUCAUUUUCAUAUUCAGAUCAAUAGAUUGCAAGCACUUCAACUUUGGAAAUGGGAACUGUCCUUUUGGAUCCAGCUGCUUUUACAAGGUAAGUUUACCUCUGAAAGCAGUCACUUCAGUUUCCUUAUCCUAAUUGUACUCUUUCAAGCAUGAUGGAUGUUUUUGUACCGCCUUUUGUGUUGUGAGGACUUUCCUAUUUUCCUGAAUUUUUAUUGUUCUUCAUUUUCUUUUCAUUAUGCCCUUGUCCAAAUUGUUUUCUUUACCUUUUUUAUUGAUCAUUGAUAUGCAGCCUGCUGAAUGAAAAUCUCGACCUGUUUGGUUUUGCUAAUCUGCAUACGCCCUAGGAUAUCUGUUAAAUAGUACAUGCUUGCCUACUGGACAUGAGUUUACUAGAAGAAAUCCUUUUUGAGAUCUGAAUAUGGAUAUCUAGUAUAAUGGAAUAUUCUUUUAUCCUAAUUAUUUUCCGUUGGUUUCAUAAGCACCCCCAUCUGCCAUGGCUAUCCAAUCAUGGCUGGUUAGAUAAGGCUCAAUCAUACUCACAUGACUUUUUUUAAUUAAUUUAUUUAAAAAAUGAUAGUUCUGUUUGAGGGGUGGCUAAGAAUUUAAAAGCGCUUUUAAAAUGUGUGAGCUAAUUUUUUUACUUUACUUGAAUUUUUUAAUAACCAUCUUCUUCAUUUUUCUAUUUAAAUUUUAAGAAUGUUUAAAAAAUCUAAACCUACAUUUGAAACAGAAAAAAAUCCCCAAGAACUAUCAUUUUGUUUUUAAAUUUUGGUUGAGAAUCUUCAAGUGUUCUGAACCCCUAUUUGAAACCAUUUCAUUUUUUUUGUUUUUGUUUUUGUUUUUUUAAAUUAAGCUUGCACACACCGUUUUUAUCUAUGGGUUUUAUUAUGUAAUCUACUUUUUAUGAGUUUUAAAAACCAAGCUAUGUUUUGAAAACAAACUUGUUUUUGUAUUGAGAUUCAACCUUUCAUUGGUCUGAUUUGGAAGUCGCAUAUAUUUCUAGGAGAUAUGAAGACCACUAUGGAGAAAUGAUGUGAAAAGAAGCUAAUUUUUCAUUAACUAGAAACCAAAUGGUUAUCAAAUAGGGCCUAAAAAUAUAAAUUAGGAAACGAUCAGCAAUCUUGCUUAAUAUUUGCAAUUACUUUUGUCAUCCCUCUUCGAUAAUUUCUAUGGCUCAAUUCAGGUACAAAGUGAUGUGCUGACUACUUUGCCUGGUUGGCUCUGCCACCUCUAUGUAGUUGUAGUAGUGUAGUAAUUUAGUCUUAGUUAAAUUCCUAGUAAGAAAAAAUUAUAUAUUUUGGACACCGAGAUUGUGUUGCUAGACCUGCUACAAUUGAUUGAUGGGAUCCCUCUGAUUCAAAUUAAUAAUAAGUUAUAUUCCUACAGACUAACAGGUGUUUGAUUUGAAAGUGUUAUCAUGGGAAAAUAAAUGUAGUUUAGGACUGUAGCAAGGCUGGCGGGACCUCUCCUAAACUGCAAUCUGUUAAUCUAUAUAUAUACUUCAUUUGCCAGUCCUCUGCGCUCGUCUAUUUUAGAAAGAACAAAUGCAACUGCUGUGUCACAUCUUCUUCAUCUCAUAUGAGUGUUGCAAUCUCAACAACCCUUAUAUUUUUUGGUGACGUGUCAUAGGUGUCACAUAAGCAGUGCUGUUGCUGUUCAUUUUCAAUCAGUUUUUGUGGUAGAUGUUGAAAGAUGUGAUUCAUAGUGGAUUUUAUCUUCAGAUCUAUUCGCAUUCUGUUUGUCAUUUAAUUUCAUUAGAGCAGAUUGGCUUUCCAAUGAUACAAUGUUUGUUGUGUUCCAGCAUUUGGUCAUUCCUGGUUCAUACACAUGGAAAUAUCACAGGCCACCUCCACGCCAACCACAAUCAUGGAGAACUCCUCCAAGCAGAUCUAAUAUUGUCGAUAUGGAUGCCUUUUUUGAAAUGUUCGAAGACUUGGAGGAUUUGGAUUUUAGUGAUGAAGAUUUAGAUUUUGAAUAUUUAACACUUUUGGAGAUGGCACUAAUGCAGUUGGGUUGUGAAGCUAACUCGUCAAGUGAUGAAGAGUCAUAGUUCUUGGGCUACAGUUUUCUUCUUAGGUUGUUGUAACCUGAUUUAUGUUGGGUGUUUGGCGAGUUUCUUCUAGUCUUGCCAAAAAACUUUGAAUAUUUGCUUCUCUGGCAUUUUUGGCCACCUAGCAGUGCUUUUGUGCAGUAAGAUAAGCUUGUAGACUUUUUUAAUUAUCAUAAAUGCCAUGUUAAUGGGGACUCGUACUUUGCAAAAGGCAACAGUCAUUUGUCCUGGGGAAAAUUAGUUACCAAGUUAUCAAGAUGACGAUGGUCUAUUUAUGGAAGAACCUUUUCUUUGCGUAGAUUAUAAUAUGGCUUCUUAAGUGUUGUAUUUUACUACUGGGAAUUAGGAAUAUCUGCUACAGCUAUCUUCUUCGUUCCUAGAUUUUACGGAGAGUUCCAUUUCUAACCCUCUUGCUUACCAAAACCAAUUGUGUGCUCCUUAUGUUGAUCCUUAACAGAUUGGUUGUUUAUUAUCCCAGUAUGCUGGUAAUUUGAAGUGAAUGUUCGAUUAAUAUGUUCUAUUAUCUAUGAAGUAGUUUUUCCCAUAUGUGGACUUUUGCACACGAUGAUUGUUUUUUGAAUGAAGCCUUAUCUGUUUGCAACUGGGACGUGUGUUGCUUCUUUACUUUCAUUCUUGUAUGCAUUUUUUUUUGUGACUAGCUGUAUUAACUUCAAAAUGAGAGUCAAAUUUUCAAUGUGAUUUUCUCACUGCAGCAUGCACAUCGGGAUGGUCGGUUGGAAGAGAUAGCUCUGCGUCAUAUUGGGAAUGAAGAUGGUCUCACUGUUAUAGCUAAAAAUCUUAGGUCUUGAUUUGUGCAUUGCUUUAUAUUGACCAUUUAUUGUGCAUCUUUUACCUUAUAAAUUUGAAGCUAUUUUCAGGUUGUCGGACUUUCUCAGUGACUUGCAUAUCAGGUGAAGAAUCCUUCAUUCAGGUAUGGAACACACUAACCACUCAUCCUUUGACCCUGAGGUUGAAAGUUCAUACUUUAUGCCAACUUUUGCUAUCUAUUAAAUAUUUCGCAUUUUAAUAUGAUUAAUCAUUUGCCUUUAUGGAUGGGGUAAACUUCAAUAAUUAACCUUGAAAAUAUCAAUUGAAACUCAACAUUUAUAUUAGAAACAGAGCGAAUUAAUCUUCUGGCACUGUCGCUAUCACUAUAUUUCAACACUUCUCUGGCUCUAAAGAGUCCAUGAAACGCUAAACUCUUUGCAUUUUGUAUUUAUCUUGAGUUACAAUAUAUUUCACCUGUCAUUUAAAUAUCUUUUUUAUUGUUGGUCUUCGUUAACACUUGCAAUGUAAUCGAAGAGUUUGAAAAACCCAUUUCAGAUGUCGAAUUGCUUGGUCUGAAGGUCUGAUAUUGAGAAAUGGAAGGUGGGGGUAUCGAACACGGUGCUUCAAACUUUGUGUUCUACAAUAUCAAAAUAAAGCUAAAGACAUUUAUGUCAUAGUGAGAAAUGAAUGUUGGAAACCCAAGCUUGUUCUUCCAAUGAUAUGGUGAAAUAAAGAAUCAUAACAUUCACAUCUCACAUGUUGAAUUUCAGCUGAAUAAUAUGUAUGGGUUCUACAAGUUGUACUAAACAACUGGAAAGUCACAGAAUGUAUUUUGGUUUGGUAUUUUAAAAGAAAGAUAUGUGGGAAUGUCAAUGUUGUAUUUUGUUUUAUACAGAAACAAGUAGAAAAAAAAAAGUAGCAUCAGGAUUUGCCUUCGGAUGAGACUUAGUACUCAUCAAAUUUACAAUAAAAAAAACUGUGAUUUUUUUUCUUCUUUUUAUUGUCAUUUUCAUUAUCAUUCUCUCUUUCUGUUAGUGAUGAUUUGUUGUAUUAGUCAAAUAUUGUUUCCUUCUUUCUCACCUGAAUGAAUCAAAAUACUUGUACAAUUAAUAUAUGUUUCUAGAUGGUUAUUUUUUGCUAUAUUUGUCAACAUCUCCGUAAGUUUUGUCAUUUUUUGAAUAAUUUAUAAGUAUUAGUUUAGUCAUUUUAUCAUGUGAUUACAAAGUCUUAUUUAUCAUUAGCUUUACUCGCACAUCCGACUGUAGUUAUCACCUUUAAAUUUGUGAUGAGGUCGUUACAUAACGAGUUUUAUAUAAUUUGUAAGAAAUAUUUAAAAUAAAUUGAGAUUGCAACCACAUAUUUUUUUUUAUUUUUCAAAGAUGAAAAGAGUUUGUGAAAGCAAUUUGAGGUUACGGUCUUUCAUAAUUUAGUUCGAAUUUCAAAGAUGCUGUUGGCUUGUAAUAAUCUUUCAAAUAUAAAGUCUCGAUUACUUUUCUUUCUUGCCUUCAAAAUUCUUCGGAUAUUGUUAAUUAUAAAGUAUGCAUUCACACUUUAAUUUAUUCAUACUAUUUCAUUUCUAAUUUUGAGCAUUUCUUUGUCAUUUAAUUUUAUGCCAUUCAAUUUCGAUUUCUCAUUUUGAAAAUCUUAGCAAUGUUUUGGAGUAUACGUUACUUUUCUAAACAUGAGGCCAUUCUUUCUAAAAAAUUUAGGGUUGGCGAGUUAUAUAAACAAUUAAUGUUAUGUAGAUGUUUACUUUUAAUUAGAACCUAGAGCUAUAUAAUUAAUUAUUACUCGUUAACAAAAUAUCUUAUUAAUUAUGUGUAUGUAUUUUCCUUGGAAAAUUAAUAAGAGAAGGGAUUGAUAAAAAAUAAAAUAAAAAUAAAAAUACAAGUUGUUGUUUCAUUGUUUUGAGUAAAUAUGCAAAAUAAUUUUAAAUGACUUUAACUAACUAAUUAAUCAAAAUACAUUCAAAUAUCAGUUUUAUAUAUUCUUAUUAUAUUUUGGAUUUUGUUUAUGCAAUUUCAUUAUCUAAUAUAUGUUUAAAUGUAUUCUCAUGCAUAAAAAUUUAAAAAGAUAAAUAAAAAAGUUGGAAGGAAAAUUAAGUAAAAAUCUUCAUAGUUGAAUUAUUUAUUUUAAACAUUAUGAAGGAAUUUCAAUCAAUUUAUUUUGUGUAUAACUUAUUUUAUUUGGUCGUACGAAAAAGAAAAAGAAAAUUAAAUAGUUAACAAUUUAGUAGUAUUAUUUAAGAAAAUGAUGUUUUUUAACCUACUUUUAUUUAAACACUCUCGAUAAAAUAAAAGUUUGCUUCAUUUGUUAUUUUUGACAACUCACCUUUUUAUUAUAUAGGAAGUCUUUUUAAUUAAUUUCAAAUUACUAUAAAUCAAGAAUUUAUUGGUGGAGGUGAUGGCCGGAGUUGGUCAACAGUCAUUUAGAAAUGUAAUUAAAGGUCGGUUGAUGGAUCCUUAGAAAUGACAACUAUAGUCUAAGGUUGGCCACCGAAGAUCAUCAAAUACAUUGUUAGAGAUUGGUAGAAGUUAGAAGGCAACGCUAGAAAAUUGGAGAGAAAUUAAGCUUUAAAACAUUCAAAAUAAUUCAUUUGUCCAUAAACCAACUUAUUUUGUAAGCUCAUUCUCUAUUUCAUGUUUAGGUGGUUGUCAUUCUUUUUCGAAACAACUUACCCUUUUAGUUAAAAAAUAUUUACACGUACAACAAAUAAUCUAAAAUUCUAUAUAUAUAUAUAUAUAUUUCCUAAAAAAAUAAAAUAAUUAAGUUUGUAACAAAAUUACGUCAACAUUAGAUUAGGGUAUAUGAUUUUCGUGCUCUCCUAUUAAAGAUGCAAAUCAUUAAUUUAAAGGCAAACAAAUUUGUCGUAUUAAUUAAAUAUAUUUGUUCUUAUACAAAUACACUUUUUUGAACAAUAAUUCAACCUUUACCUCUCAAUCCAAUUCAUUCCAUAAAAACAAAAACAAAAACUCUAAAUCCAAAUUCCUAAUUUGAAAAUUUGACCAAUUAACCUUAAUUGGAAAAAAUGGGGAGGAAUAAUCCUAAAAAUAACCAUCUUUCACAAUUACUGUUCAUAUUAAUUACAACGUUUCUUUGUACCAUUUUUUUGCCAAUUGGUUAAAACAUCGUUUUUUUUUUAAUUUAUUGGUUCAAUUUCAUUUCCGAUGGGUUCAAUAGAUCUUGAUAGUUUAAUGUUCAUUUAAAUUUUUUCAUCUAAAACAUGUUCAUCCAUUGUAUGACAUAAUUAAACCUAUUAUUGUUAUUGUUGUUGUUAUUUAUUUAAUCAAUUAAUGAAAAGGAAGAAACUAAAUUUAAAUGAUUAAUGACAUUAUAAUAUGUGUAAUCACUGACUUUGAAGUCCCAAAUUGAAACAGAAAGAAGAAGACACAACACCCUAUUUUUAUUGAAUAAAUCACACUAAAUUAAAAAAUAAUAAUCAUACAGCAAAAACAGAUCACUAACAACAAUGAAUCAUACAGUAAAGAGAUUCUAGAGAAUCUCCAUUUUAUUUUCCGAUCAAACUAACCUCUAAAUAUAAAAAUGAUAAUUAAUUAAUUAAUUAAUGUAUAUGAAUUAACAAUCCACAUUCGAUUUAAUUUAGAGCUUUAAGAGUGCAGGAAGAGAGAAGAAGAAGGAAGCAAAGAGCAGAGCCAUGGAGGUCGCAACAGGCAGGGACGACGCUGCUCCUCGGUCGAGCCCUGGCGCCGGCGCUGGAGCUUCCUGAGCGGAAACGAGGGCGGAGAAGAGAGCAACGAGGGCGAGGAAGACGACGGGGGAGAUCUUGGAAAUGGCCAUUGAAAUGAGGAAAGAAGAGAAGAGUAGAGGAGAAAGAAGAAUUGUGCGGGGGAAUAAUUAUGAUUUUUACUAUGUGAGGGGAGAGGUUAUUUAUAGUGAGGGGCAGGAUGGCGCGUGGAACCCACUGGGAUUAAGCGUCCAAUGAGGUGACGAAAAGUCGCGUGAGAAUUGUGGUCACGUGGAGGGUACGUGGAAUAUAAAAAUUGUAGACAAAUAAUA